rnacentral:lncRNA from 1 species
AAGGCUGAAUUGUCUUCAAUACGGAGUUAACAUUGCCAGUCAAGGACGAACUUCCGACACCAUAUGAUUCUACCGCAAUUCUUUUAGUCUCCUUGCCAAUACUUUGUCUGUCUAAUUCAUGUAUAUUAUUAGAACUUCCGACAUUAUGAAGGAUAGAGUUGCUUCUUGAUUCCAUGUUCAUGCCGUUAACAGCAACUACAUACUGGAUUUCGGAAUCACCAUCCACGCUACCUAGACCAAACUGAGUAUCAUCCAAAUCAUUUAUAGAGAAUAGGAACAUCCUAAGCUUUAAAGAUCCUCUCCUUCUUUGUAGAUCAUGACAUUCCUCCAUCAUAUUCCGCAGAUCCUCAUCAGAAGAUACUGAAACUAGGGCAUCAAGAUCUUCUCCAGGGAGCUGAUACUUCAUUACAUGAGUAUCACUAUAGAUUGAUGAUAUUUUCAGCAUAAGCUCCGGCCAACUUAUGUCCUUUCUAAUAUUAAUAAUCCGUGUUUCACCCCCGACAUAUCUAAGCUUUCCAUCACUUGGCCGUGGUAAUAUUUUACCACCAAAGCUGCAUAGAAUCUUCAUCUUCAUAGGUGAGCUCUCAGAAGCUCCAGAAGAUGAAAUACCUUGAAGGACACGGUUAUUCUCUUGAUUAGACAAUGUUCUAGGAAUCGAUCGAGCUGAGCUAUAACUACUUCUUUCCUGGUGUAGAGAAGUAUUCCUUCUGUCAAACUCUUUCGGACCUUUUUCAAUAUUCGCGAGCAUAGAAAUAUCGGAACCGCUUUCAGAACCUGAAUGGCCUAAAAUGCCUUUCAAUUCCAUAUACCCUGUUGAAUAAUUCGGAUCACCUACAACAUUUGGAAAGGACGGCUUCCUGAGAUUCACCCUAUCUCUCAUAAACUCGAGAGAAAAUUCCUCACCAGUCUGUAUGGAGAAAUUAUGCACAGGUUUAUUUUCGAGCACGUUGUUAAAGGAAGGAGGAGGCCUUGUAUUGGUAUGCAUGCCGUCCAAAUGGUCUUGCAGGACCGGUUGUGGCGCAGAAUGGAACUCCUCAUUUCGAGGUUCCAUCGAAUUGUAUUGAUGUUUCUGCAUUCUUGAUUGUCGAAUCAAAUCAUCAUUUGUAAUGUUAAAUGUCGGAGUUUACUGCAAUGCCACAGUACUAGGAAGAAACUAAACAUCAUGUAAAAAUUAAUGCAACCAAUUACUGUAAAUUUAAUUUCCAAAUCCCAUUGAUAAGACUACUAAGUUAUUAAACAACUCCAAAAAGUUUGAACUUUUUAUCCAUAGCAAUGAGUUGGAGAGAACCUUUAUUAAUGCACCAGUUUAUGUCACCAUAAUCAAUGUAUGAAGAAGCUUCCAAAAUCUUCAAAACUCUUAAGACCAAGUACUUUAUUUGAUGAUCAAAUUAUCAUCAAAAUGUCACCCUGUAAGAGUGAUAAAGUUUAGAAACUGUUUAGAAUGAGAUUAAGAUGUAACAAUAGAUGAUAGAAAAAACAACAUUAAUUUAAGGGAACAGAUACAAAACGGAAGAGAUUACAAGAACAGUAACUGAUAUAAACAAUUGGAAGAAAUUAUCAUCAACAAUUUAGCUAUUAGAAAUAUGAUCUCAAAUAUACCAUAGGUGCUAUGAACAAAUUUAUUUAUUUAUUUCAACCCCAAGUUCAUUCUACAACAACUACUUUUAAUUGUGUACCCUAAAUUACUAAGAAAAAGAAAAUCAUUUAUAAUAUGGACCAUAAUGUUCCAAAAAAUCAAAAUUUUAUCAUUCAAUAAGCAUCAGCUAAGGAAUUGGUAAUUGCUAAUUUGCAGAACCACUUGCAAUGAAGCAAAAUCCAACACUAACCAGAAAAAAUAAAUCAUUCCUAAAUGCAUGUUUGGAUUGAUGGAAUCACAGUCUGCCACAAUAAUUUUACCAAACGCUACCCUUUAGAACUUCAACGAAAUCAGGAUGCCAUCACGAUUUCGUCGAAUUCACUGUAAUUCCAAACAUGCAUAAAAACAAACCAAAUCACAUGCAAGGAGUAUAUGAAGUAUAAUUGAACAAACAAUUUAAGUAAUCACUUAACCACCUAAGAAAAAAAAAUCGAUACAUAAUAAUAUCAAUUCUGGUCAACUCUCAUCAAGAUUAUGAAAUAAAAAAUUCACAAAACUUGAAGAUCCUAACUUCAACCUUAAUCCAUCAAAAUUUCAAAACACAGCAUAGAUUAUCAGAAUUUCAUAAAUCAAGUUUGAUUUAACUUAUUAAAAGAGAUAACAAUCACAAAAGAAUUAUAAAAAAAAAAACACUGGAUCAGGGAGAAAAUUAAACAGAAUUAUCAGUAUACCUGAUUGAUGAUUGUUUCCAAGAAGGUUUCAGAGUAUGAACCAUGGUUGGUUAUUUAGUAUCUUGAAAAAAGGAAGAAGAAAAAGAAAAAGAUCUAUAUGUAAAGAAAGAAGAAAAAAAAGGAAUGAAACUUUGUUUGUCUAUCCCAUGUUUUGAUUUUAUUUAUUUUGGAGUUGCAAACAAUCUGAAUCUAGUUGUAAUUGGAUGAUACUUUUUGGAACAAAAUGACAGCUCAACAUACACACAGUCACACACUNNNNNNNNNNNNNNNNNNNNNNNNNNNNNNNNNNNNNNNNNNNNNNNNNNNNNNNNNNNNNNNNNNNNNNNNNNNNNNNNNNNNNNNNNNNNNNNNNNNNNNNNNNNNNNNNNNNNNNNNNNNNNNNNNNNNNNNNNNNNNNNNNNNNNNNNNNNNNNNNNNNNNNNNNNNNNNNNNNNNNCUCUCUCUCUUCUGUCAAACACAAAUAAUUGUUUUUCUCUCUCUAAUAUUUGUGGAUUGUAGAAGACUAGAAAGCUGUAUGUAUGUUUCUGUUAAGAAAUAAAAUAAAAUUUGUUGUGUUGUGUCAGCUAAAUAGUCAAAAAAAGAGUGAAGAAUCAACCAAGUCCACUAGGGAUACAAAUUACACGUAACAACUGUGUUACAUAGUACUGUGUUUCUGCCGUAGAUUUAAAUCGACGGCUGAAAUUGACUAAUUAGAAAAAAUUAUCUGUAUAAUCUACACUAUUUGAUUUCAAAUAACGGUUUAGAUUGUUUACUCAAUCAAAUUGCGUGCUGCAGUUAAUGCAGCAGGUAGUAAUAGACAAAUUUUCUGCUUUUUUGUUUUACUUUAUUAUUACGGCAACAGUUCGUUAAUCGUUAAGUCGGUAUGAAAUACUCUUUCUAUCUUUAAUGUAAGAAAUGUUUUUAAGGUUGUUUUGUUUUUAUUUAUAAUAAAAAGUCACGACUUUUAAAAAGUAUUUAUUUUCUUUUACCUUAUUUAAUGUAUGUUUUUAUAUUAAUAAAUACAUUAUCAUAAUUUUCGUAAAAUAUUUAGAAAAAUAUACAAAAAAGUUGCCGCAAUAAAUCAUUUAUUUAAUUUUGGUAUAUUAAAACAUCCGAGAGAAUAGUAAAUACAUUAAAUGAAAUUAAUACUACUAUUCAGUAAUCCUUCCAUUUCAAAAUAUAUACAGCAGAAUUAAUUCAUUGAUAUUUUAUGAAAUAUAAAUUAACUAACUGAUAUUUUAUGAGUUAUAUAAUUUGAAUGCAGCAGAAUUAAUUGAAAGUUGCCUGUAUUAUUUUUUAUAAGAAAAGUUGCCUCUAUACUAUUUUAAAACCAAAAGUGUAUUUGUCAUCUAUUUACUUAUUUAUCUAUUUUAAUUGCAGUCUUUUCUUUUAUUAUCUAUUUAAGAAAAGUAAGUGUGCUAAUGCCAUUUGUCAUCAACUCACAGCCUUUAUGUUUUUUAAACUAUUUUCAACUGAUUUGAGAAUGGUUGUAAAAUAAAAUAUUUUUGAGAAGGAUGAAUUGACUCAAAUAGUCUGAUCUAAUAAUAAAAAGAUAAAUAUUUAAUAUGACAUGUUGCAGGUUUGGUUUCUUACUCGUUAUUAAGGUCUUUUUCUUUAAAUUGGAUCACCAUUCCUUAUAUCAUAUAUUUUCUCACAUAAAAAAAUUGAGAAUGAUGCACUAAUAACCGGUAGAAAGUGACUCCCACGCUUCAAAAAAUAACUAGGGUUGGAGUUGUAACUUUUGUGUAGGAAAAUAAUCUAAUUAAGUUUACAACAUUUCAUUAAUAAUAAUGUCUUCAAUACAAGAAGGAAUGUCAAUAAAGAUACGAUGACUAGUUAAAGGUUUAAAGUGAAAUUAUCAAAAGAUACUUUUUCAAAAGUUAAUAAAUAAAUUAUUAAUAUUGUAUUUAAUAACUAUAAAAAAAUUAUUUGGUAGAAAUCAUGACAUUUUAAAUUCAUUUUCUUUAUUUUUUUUCAAAAAAUAAAAUAAAACUUUUAAUUGUUCUACAAAAACGUCAAAAACUAAUGUAGAAGAUUUUAUCAGAUUUAUAUAAGUUAAAAAUGUCAAUGUUAAAUUUAAAUAAGGAAGUAUAGUCAAAGGGGAAAAAACGAUUGUGUUUGUUGUGUUGAUAGCAAGUUUCAGACAAAAGUUUCAAUAUGAUAUUUUAAGAGACAUUUUUUGGUGAAAAAACAAUGUAUUUAAUAUCAUACAAUACGAUGCUAUUUAGUGAAAAAGAAUGUCUUUAAUAUCGAAAGAUGCUUUUACAUUAUCCUCAUCAUAAACAUCAUUUUUUGUGUAUAGUUGUAAUUUUGUUGGAGGCGUGUUUUCUUUUCUACACGUAUACAUAAUUUUUAUAACAUAUUAUUGGGGCUCUGUAUCGUAUAAAAAUUAAAAUAAAAAAUUAUUUUUUGGCGAGACAUAAAGCAAGGGCUGCCUCUCCAUUGGGCCGACUCUGUCAAUAACAUGAACUACCUCUUUGAUUUGUCUUUGAAUAAACUCUCUACAUGAGUUUUGAAAGACGAAAUAGAAAAUAAAACGACAAUAAGACAUUAUAGUUUGAAAUGUCCACUUGAGCUUGAUGAAACUUAUCAACUACACAUUUGGAGUUUAACUCGAAAUCUAUUUAUUCAACAUGAAGCUCUUUAACCAAUUCCAAAGCACUAAGAAAAUCAUAAGUUUCACCUACCAUAACGGAGCGCACUGACAAAACUAGUCAGUUUUGGCUAAAACAAAAUUACCAAUAUGAUCACAUAUGCACAUUCCUCUAUUUUGCAAGGAAGAAAAAGAAGCGUCAAUGUUGCAUUUGUAUCUACAUGUCGUUGAUUUUUUCACACAUUUGCCCCUACCUGCAAAACAAAAGCAAUUUGAGCUUUUAAGAACUUGAUGCACUAGCUACCAAUCAUCAAGAAAUUUUAAAUCUCAAUGGAUUACUUGUUGUGUUGUCUCGUUAGAGUUGUUCCAAAUUUUAUUGUUGUGUUGUUGCCAUAUACUCCAACUUGAGCUUGAUGAAACUUAUCAACUACACAUAUGGAGUUUAACUCGAAAUCUAUUUAUUCAAUAUGAAGCUCUUUAACACAUUUCAAAGCACUAAGAAAAUCAUAAGUUUCACCUACCAUAACGGAGCGCACCGACAAAACUAGUCAGUUUUUGCUAAAACAAAAUUAUUGAUAUGAUCACAUAUGCACAUUCCUCUAUUUUGCAAGGAAGAAAAAGAGGCGUCAAUGUUGCAUUUGUAUCUGCAUGUCGUUGAUUUUUUCACACAUUCGCCCCUACCUGCAAAACAAAAGCAAUUCGAGCUUUUAAGAAUUUGAUGCACUAGCUGCCAAUCAUCAAGAAAUUUCAAAUCGCAAUGGAUUACUUGUUGUGUUGUCUCGUUAGAGUUGUUCCAAAUUUUAUUGUUGUGUUGUUGCCGUAUACUCCAAAUCAUUAUGACUCAUUGCACUGCUGCUGAUCCAUCCAUAACUUGCAAAGAUGGAGAGAAAAAAAAAACCAUAGUUGCUUGAGUUGUUGCAUUUUGCACCAAACUAUUGAACUCAAUUUGUUGCCAAGUUCGCUCAUUGUUAUGACAAAGAAAGAAAGGUUACAUCACAUCCUCAUAUCCAUCUGUAAACAAAGCACAAUUUGUUGGGCAUUAGAUCCAACCAUCUUGAAGUCUAGAUCACGUAGGAAGACAUUCACCAUAAUAAUUUUUUAAUCUUUCACCACACCUUCAAUUUCUAUAACAAAUUCAAAUUCACAUUAACUCAAAGAUUCUACCUAUUUAUAAAAUCAGUUAUGCAAAAUUUCAUGCACUAUAAAUCGAAUAAAUGCCGUUACUCUCUAUAUGCCAAAUACAUAUAUCAAUUUUGACAGAGUAAAAAAGAGAAGUAUGCAUUUUUUCCGCAAAUGUAGGAGUAGAACUUGAAGUAAUCAAAGGUUUAUUCCAUAUUUUUGAUGUAGACAUAAUAAGAUUAUCUAUACACAUAUUGGCUUGUUAAUCAUCAAAAAGUAGUAGGACGUGGGAUAUAUGAACCAUCACUAAGCCAAUUCUCAUCUCACAACAAAACUGAAGUGUGAUCAUCAAUGCUCCAACAAGUCUCUACUUUUAAUAAAGGUUUCUUUGUCCAAUUGUUUCUUUAAACAUAACUUGGAUUAUGACUAAGAUUAGAGGCAAAAAAUAACUCAUAGAAAAGUAUUUAGCUUUCAAGAGACGAGUGAUUAUACUAUUUGGACUGGAUAUAAGCCUCUGAUAAGGAGCUCAAGAUCAUGAAGAUGAUCCAUAUUUUAAUAAAUUAGGAUGAACUUUAUUUAUUUUAAUUUAGUUUGUAAUAGUUCUUAAUUUGCUUUGAUUUGAAAUUGUAAUAGUUUUAUUAUAGAUUUAGUUUAUGUUAUGUGUAACUGAAGAUACUUUACUUUCUUACAUUAAGUUUAUUUUAGAAAAAAAUAAGAUGUUAGUCCAAUAUGGGCCUAGAGAAUUGUGUUACUUAUGACCUAUUUAGGUUUAGUAUAAAUAAGCAUUUGUAACCUCAUUGAAGGAGGAUUUUUUAACAUUAUUUUUGUGAGGUUUUGCUCUCUAGAGUUCUUGAAAGAAUUCACUUUGAACUUAUCAAUGUUGUUAAUUCUUGUGGUGUUCUUUUUGGCUUAUCAGUCCUUAGAUUGUGAGCCAUUUUGUUCUUGGUUCGUUUGCUGAAUAAUAAUUUUGAGUUUCCUUUACAUCAAACCCUAAAACUCAAAUUCUAUCAAUUUUCGUGUUCAGUAACCUACAACCCUAUCUCGAGUUCUACAUACUUGUUUUUGGUGAUUCAACAGUCUAACUUGCGUUUUGGAACGUCAUCUUUCACCUCAUUUUGGAAUUGUCCGAUUUGGAGUUUUUUAGCUCUAUUUAUCGUGUUCUCCAGCAAUACACGAUUUUUGACUCAAAUCUAUAAGUUUACAACCUAGAACAAUCUUUAAAGUAAAUAAUGACUAACAGGAUCGUAUCAUUCGGUACCAGAGCUUGUCUCUAGGUUUGGAAUUGAGUAAAAUUUUGUUUAUCUAUUUUUUGGGUGAAACAUAAAUUGCUAGUUGUGUUGCUUUUAUUUGAAUUACUAUCCUUACUUAAUUUGUGUGUUGCUAACACUUAAAAAAAAGGGUGUUGUUAAAAGUAUUGCACACUACCUGUUUGAGAAAAUUCCUAAGUAUGUCAUAUCAUCAAUAUAUUCGAGAUUUUGUAUUGGAUCCAGAGUAUGUAAAAUAUCUGUACGAAAAUGGAUAUGCAAAACAGGCAAGAAAAGUAGAGAAGCUAGCCUUGAGAGAGAAAGAGAAAAUCAAAGAAAAGAAAGAAGAAGAUGAGAAACAUUUGAGAAACAAAUGGCAAGAAAUUAACUCUAACUAUUUGUCUAAUUUUGAUAAUACUCUAUUGCAAGUGCUUGAAGAAGUGUUUCCAAAUGAGGAAUGUCAUCAAUAUAUUGACAUUGAAAGCAAAGAGAAAGAUUAUGGUAAAAUUGAAAGUCUCUUUAAACAAAAGAGUGAGGUGAACGAAACAAUGUUAGUGUUGGAAGGUGAUUAUUCAAAGGUUCCUCAAAAUGAAGCUUACAAGGAAAUUAUUGAGUCAUCAUUUUUUUGUGAUGAAGAGAAUGUCUAUGAAACGCAACUUGCUUUGAAGUCUAUGCAAAUACAAAGUAACAUAUUGUUUGCCACAAAUUUCAAUCUAAAAAAGGUAAAUUUAGUCAUGAAUAUCAACUUCAAAAGGUAUAACUUUAUUAUCAUCUUUAGAAUUUAUUACCUUUACUAUAAAUGUGAUAAGAUGUUAAUUGUUAAAGAUGGAAAUGCGUUUCACCGACUUAUCACAUUUGGUGGCUUUUCCAAUUUCCCAUUUGACCCUGGUGGAUAUGAUGAUCUUGUGGUUUGUUUGGAUUAUUUCUUCAUGUACGAUAUAAUGGAGCUUAAAUUCGAGGUCGAAUUUCUUCAAGAAAGAGAGAAUGAUGAGGACCUCAAGAGCAUGAAGAUGAUCCAUAUUUUUAAUAAAUUAGGAUGAACUUUAUUUAUUUUAAUUUGGUAUGUAAUAGUUCUUAAUUUGCUUUGAUUUGAAAUUGUAAUAGUUUUAUUAUAGAUUUAGUUUAUUUUAUGUGUAAGUGAAGAUACUUUACUUCCUAACAUUAAAUUUAUUUUAAAAAAAAAUAAGAUGUUAGUCCAAUAUGGGCCUAGAGAAUGGUGUUACGUAUGACCCAUUUAGGUUUAGUAUAAAUAAGCAUUUGUAACCUCAUUGAAGGAUGAUUUUUGAAUAUUAUUUUUUGAGGCUUUGCUCUCUAGAGUUCUUGAAAUAAUUCACUUUAAACUUAUCAAGGUUGUUAAAUCUUUUGGCGUUCUUUUUGGUUUAUCAAUCCCUAGAUUGUGGCGUCAUUUAGUUUUUGGUCUGUUAGCUGAAUAAUAAUUUUGAGUUUCUUUUACAUCAAAUCCUAAUACUCAAAUUCUAUCAAUUUUCGUGUUCAGUAACCUACGAUCAUAUCUCGAGUUCUACAUGUUGUUUUUUGGUGAUUCAACAGCCUAACUUGCAUUUCGAAACGUCAUUUUUCACCUCGUUUUGGAAUCGUCUGGUUCGGAGUUUUCGUAGUUCUUUUAUCGUGUUCUACAGUAAUACACGAUUUUUGAUAGAAUUUGAUUAUUAGGGUUUGAUGUAAAGGAAACUCAAAAUUAUUAUUCAGCAAACGAACCAAAAACAAAAUGGCGCCACAAUUUAGAGAUUGAUAAGCCAAAAAGAACGUCACAAGGAUUAACAACCUUGAUAAGUUCAAAGUGAAUUCUUUCAAGAACUCUAGAGAGGAAAACCUCACAAAAAUAAUAUUAAAAAAUUCUCCUUCAAUGAGGUUACAAAUGCUUAUUUAUAUUAAACUUAAAUGGGUCAUAAGUAACACCAUUCUCUAGGUCCAUAUUGAACUAACAUCUUAUUUUUUUUUUUCUAAAUUAAACUUAAUGUAAGGAAGUAAAGUAUCUUCACUUACACAUAACAUAAACUAAAUCUAUAAUAAAACUAUUACAAUUUCAAAUCAAAGCAAAUUAAGAAUUAUUACAAACCAAAUUAAAAUAAAUAAAGUUCAUCCUAAUUUAUUAAAAUAUUGAUCAUCUUCAUGCUCUUGAGGUCCUUAUCAGCUUCCGACCUUGUCUUCCAAGAAAAGAAAGAUUUAAAGCAUUACACUUUUGAAGCUUUUCCCUCCAUUUGCUUUAUGCAUUGAAAGAUUGUCUCGAUUUAGCCAACGAAUUCCCUUUUGCAUGUUUCUACCUUUUUUCCACCAAAACGAGUUAAUCUUCUUUUUAUCUUCUUUUCUAUUUCAUCUCCCAAAGAAGACAAAAGCAUUAAGAUAGUCAUAACAUAUCAUGAGAUUGCUUGUAGUACUGAUUUGGUAAGUACCUCUUGACCUACUCUUGAAAGACACUUACUACUCCAAGAAUUAAUUUUAUGCCAAACUUUGUCCUUAAUAAAACGAAAAUUGGCCUUUUUGCUCCUACCUAUCAAGGAUGGUAAUCCCAAGUACUUACCAAUACCUAACAUCGCAUUAACUCCCAGCACAUUCACAGUCAAAGUUUUCAAGUCCAUUAACACAUUGCGACUACAUAAAUAUACUUACUUGAUGAAACUUCAUAAGUCAAAAGGAUACUUUAAAUAGUUACUACUUCUCUAAUUGAGAUUACGGAAAGAAAUUACAUAAAUAUACUUACUUGAUGAAACUUCAUAAGUCAAAAGGAUACUUUAAAUAGUUACUACUUCUCUAAUUGAGAUUACGGAAAAAAAAUAAAAAAAAAAAAAAAAAAAAAAAAGGAAACAAUCAUCUACAAAUAAAAAGUGUGAAAUAAUAGGAGCAUUCCUACAAAUUUUUAUUCCAUGAAGAUCCCCUCUUCGCUUUUCUUGUUUAAUCAACGUAGAAAAAUCUUAUGCACAUGAAAUAAAUAAGGAGAAAGUGAGUCACCCUAUCAGAGUCCUCUUCUCGGAAUGCUAGGUACCGCACACUCCUUGUUCACUAACACUAAAUACUUCAUAGUUUCAACACACAUCAUAAUUCAAUUCACCCAUUGAUUUGCAAACCCAAAUGUGUCAUCACAUUCCUCGUAUAAUUUCAAUCAAUAUGGUCAUAAGAUUUGUUAAUGUCUAACUUAAGAGCAACCUCUCCCCUUCGACCAUGGGUUUUCGUCUUCAUAUAGUGGACUAACUCAACUACUGCCAUAAGAUUAUCUAGGAUUGAUCUAUUUGGAAAAAAGCAAAACGAUUGUCUAAAAUGAAUUUAUGUAAGACAUUCUUUAACCUAUUGGUAAGCACCUUAGGCAAAAUCUUGUACAUGACAUUACAAAGUGCUAUAUGGCACCAAUCCUUCAUUGACACUUGAAAAUCAUCUUUGGAAAUCAAAGCUAUAUUUUUUUGGUAAGAGCAGAAGGAAAAGACCCCGUACGAAGCAAGUCACAAAAAAUUAAAAAAAAAAGUUCACUACCACAAAGAUUCCAAAAAUGUUGAGAAAAAAAAUCUAGAUUCAACCCAUCAAGACUAGCACUCUUAUCAGCCUUUAUAGAUAAUUCAAAGGGAGCAAUAAGCAAAGUAUUAUCAACAUAAGAUAUUAUUGGAAAUAAAGCGUUUAAAAUUGGCUAUCGAAUACUACUUUGACAUUGAAACAAGUUGUGAAAAUAAUGUUUUUCCACAUGACAUAUAGAGCACAUGCUUCGAUAGCUCAGUUCUCGCUCUCAUCAUUGAGAAAACUAUUGUGGUUUACCUUUUGUCUAGAAGUGGCUGGAAUGUGAAAAUAGUGAGUGUUAAGGUAUCCUUUUUAAGCCAAAAAGUUUUAUCCAAAAAGCGUCCUUUAACGAGUAACUCAAACAUUUUCCUUCUCAAGGACUCAAAAUAAGCACCAUUUACAUCACUGCUUGGUAGUCCGAAUUAUUUUUAGUUCUUUUUGACACUUUGAAAUUUCAUGUCAGAUUUUAUUACAUUAUUAGAUAUUUUUAGUUCUUUUUUAGUUCUUUUUGAUAAUUAAAUUAUUCAUUAUUAGAUAUUUCAACAAUAUUACCAUUUUUUUAAAAUAAUCUCUCAAAAAAAAUUGUGAAAAAUUCUCAAAAUAAAUUUUCAUUUUAAUUUAAUCAUCUUUUAAAAUUUUAUUAUCUAAAAAAAAUUAUAAUAAAUAUAUGAAAUGCUUAAAAUGAUUUUUUAUUGUAAGCUAUUUAAAUCAAUUAAUUAUUUUAAACUUAUUUUUAAAAUUAUUUUUUUAAAAUGCUAUAAUGAAAAGAUGAAAUAUUAUAAAAGAUAUUAAAAUUCCAAUUAUUAGUUAUAGAGUUGAUAUUUUUUAUAGAAAAUUUAAUAAUAAAACUCACCCGCACUAUAAAAAAGUGAUGAUCUUAAAUUUUUGGAAUUUACUUUUAAAAACAUUAAAUAUCUCUACUUCUACAUUCCACCGUAUAGAGUUGAUUUUUAAUUUCACUGUAGAUAGAUUUGGACUGCAAGCAAGCACCUUAGUUGUAUAAUUGCUUGUGUACUAAAACAAUUAAAAGUAAGGUGCAAGUGAUCAUGACAAACAAAUACAAUGAUAUAAUAUUGGGGUCGGCUUUGGACACCCCUAAAUAAAACCCUUUUAUUUAUUAUUUAUUUUUCCUAAAAAAUACAUUUGAUUGGAUGUACUCUUUCGGAUGUUGAUGGGACAAAAUAAAAUAUUGAUUUUGGCAUAGUCUGAAUGUAUAGAUUUGUAUGGAAGUAAUUUAAAUCUAUAAAUCCUUUUAACGGAAAGAGUCUUGAUCUUACUAGAUUAGUAGUUUUACUCAAUUACAAUUUUUUAUUCAACCUGAGCAAUCAAAUUAAAAUCAUUUUGGUUUAAUAAAAUGAUUUUAUUUAUACAUCCGAUCAUUUUAAUUCAUAUAUAUCUCACUUUAUAAUCUCACUUUAUAAAAAAAUUUAAAAUUCUACUUUAAAAUUGAUAUAAUAAAAUAGUUUAUUUUCUGAUCACUAUUCAGAUGAGUUGCUGCGGUUUUUUACCCAUAUUUUUAAAAUUAAUUGAUAAAAUAAACAAAAAGCAAUUAGUAAAUAAUAAAAUAUUAAUCAUAAUAAUAUCAAAUUAAUUAAAAAAAUAGUAGAUGCGGAUGCUUUUUUAUUUCUUUGCAUCACCGCAUUCUUAAGAUUAUGCGAUUAGUUUUUUUCUUUGCAUAGCCACAUCUCAAAGAUAUAACUAGCAAAAAAAAAUUAUUUUGAUAUAUUAAUUUUAAAAUAGAAUAUUUUAAAUUCUUUUCUUAAAAGUAGAAUAUAUAUGAAAAAAAAAACCCGAUCCAAAUCGGCUAAAACGCAUUUAAUCUCUCUAUUUUAUUAAAUUCAUAACUUUAAUUUUUUUUUUUUACAAUAUUGGUCCUUCACUUUUAAAAUUCUUGACAUUUAAUGGAUUUUUUAUCAUAUAUCUUUUUUUAAAACAAAAAUAUAAAAUACUCAAACAAAAUUGAGGGUAGUAAUUUUUCAUCGCUUUUGUAUUAAUUGAUAAAAAAUAAAUAAUUAAUUAAAAAUAAUAAUUAUUAAUUAAUAAUAAUAUAAAAUUAAUUAAAAUUAGCAAAAAAAAAAUAUAAAAGAUUAUAAAAAUUAAAUAUAUUUCUUAAUAAAAUUUAAAUAAUAUUUUAAAAACUAUCUCCUAUUUUGUAGUUUAUUUACUAUUUUUAUAAAUUGACAAUUUCCUCCUAUUUAGCAUAUAGUUUUAAAGUGAAAUAUAAAUUAGAACGGUGUUUCAUAACACGUUCUUUAGUUUGGUAUAUACUCAAUUUUUUUCAAAGAAAAGAAAAGGAAGAUAUGUUUACUUAUAUAUACGAAUUAUAUCGAUUAUUUAUAUCAGUUACUCGUUCAUAAUCUAAAAUAUUAUCUAAAUAUUUCUGAUAACAAUAAUUAGUUUUUAUAAUUUUUUAUUUUUUAUUAAUUUUAAUUAAUUUUUACAUUAUUACUAAUUAAUUAUUAUUAUUUUUCAUGAUUUAUUUAUUAAUUUUCAUUUUUAUAUUAUUUUAUAUAAAAAAUGAAUAAAAAUAUGAAUAAUUAGAAAAUCGCAUCCCUAUGAUAGAAUCAACUACUAGCCUCAAUUUUUUGUUUAGGUGAUCGUAUCUUAAAAUGUGAUCUAAUGAAAACUAAAAAAGUUUGACAUUUUAAUUUUUAAAGUGUGGCAUUUUGGAUUUAAAAAACAAAAUAGAAAUAUCAAUCAUUUAAGUGGUGUGUAUAUGAUGAAAUGGAAAAUCAUGUUAAAGUAAAAUUUACAUUUAAUAUACCAUUUUAAUAAUUUCUUAAAAUAAAAAAUGUUAAUUUUUUUCUAGUAAAACUUGUGAAAAUUCUUUUUUCUACAUUACUUUUUUUUUUGUUCUAUAAAUUCUGAAAAUAAAAAAAAAAUCAAUUGUUUUUACAAAUAUUUUGUCUUAAAAUUACUGAAAAAUAUAAAAAAAAAUUAUUUUUCAGAAAUUUGUAAAGAAAAAAAAAACAGAAAUUUAAAAAAAUUAUCUAUGAUUGUGAAAAUUUUCAGAAACUUCUAAAGAUGAUUUAUUUUAAACUAUUUAUGAUUGUAAAAAAAAUUCAGAAUUUUUAAAACCAUAAAAUUAAUUUUAAAAAGAAUUGUUUUUUAUUUUAUUUUCUGAAAUUUUAAAGAAAGACUAAAAUUAAUUUUUUUUUUGUUUCAAAUUUAUUUAAUUUAAAAUUAAUAAUUACAUCAUUUAAAUUAUGCUACAUCACUAAAUUUUAACUCAAAUUAAAAAAGAUAACUAAAUAUAAGUAAUUUAAAAAUAGGGGAUUAAAAUAGUAAAAAAAAAUGAAAAAAACUAAAUUCACACAUUAAAUAAAAUAGAUGGAUCAAAAUUAUAUUUUAAUCACCCAAAUUUAAAAGGAUGAGUUUUUUUUUUUUUUACUGACAAAUAAAUUAAAGCGAAAAAAGGUGAGAUAAUGAAAGUGUUUUGGUGUGAGAAUGUUUCAAAGUGAAAAGGAGGCAAAUGUUUUUAAAAAAUGUGGUUUGGGAUUGAUCCAUAUUCCAUUCUAUAUGCAUACAAUUGUCAAACUAUAACAAGCGAUUAAGGAAUCACGUGUGAGUUUGAUGACUCAAAAUUAUUUAAAAUAAGUGUUAAAGAUUAUAUAUUUUUGUUACAAGUUUAGGAUAUUAGUUAGUUGGUUUAAUUUAGUUUGUUAGUAUGUAUGUAUAGUUAGUUAGUUGGUUAAGUUUAAAAUAUAUUUUAUAAAUAAAAUAUUUAAAUAUGUCUUUGAUUUUUAUAAUUAUAAUAUUUUUUAUUUUUGUUUUCGUAAAUUUUUUAUGUUUGAUUCAGUAAAUAUAUAUUCAUUUUAAAAUAGUUCUUCAGUCCAACCUCUAUUAAAAAAAUUCUAACAUCGUUAAAUUUUUUUUAAUAAAAAAUAAAUAAAAAAUUAAAAAUUUGAUUUUAGUCACUCUUUUAAAAAAUAAUCAGAUUUAUAAUUUCUAAUUUAUUUUGUUUUUUAUUAAAAAAAAUUACAGUUUUAAAAUUUUUUAACAAAAUUUAGUUCUGAAAAAUUAUUUUAAAAUGACUCUAUAUUUACAAGAAUGUAAAUCAAAUAAAAAAAUUACAAUAAUUAAAAUAAAAAAAUUACAAUAAUUAAAAUAAAAAAUAAUAUAAUUACAAGGACUAGAGAUAUAUUUAAACCUAAAUAAAAUUAUUAUAUUAAUAUUUUUUAAUCAUUAAUAUGAUGUAUUUUAAAAAACACUUCUUUUGUAUUAAAUUUAAGUUUAUUUUCAAUAUGAGAUUUAUAAGAUCCAAGAGUAAAAUACCUAAGGGUAGUUGAGCUUCACUACAAAUGGCUUGCACGUGUUGUUGGUCUAUUUCUUUGGGUCUCUUUCUCUUAUCGUCUUUUGUAUUUUUACUACUAUAUCUUUUUUUAUGAGAUAUUUGAAGGUCUGAAAUAGUGUAUAUUUUUGGAUCAAUCUUGUUUUCUCUUCCUAAAUGAAAGGAGCGCAAGCAAAUUAAUCAUAAUUCACCACCAACAUGGUAGCUACGUCCUAUCCUUUCACAUUAAAGGAUUUAAUCCACUGUUCAUUAAUGGAAUCACAAGUUCACUAAACGCCUUCUAGUCAAACUAACUGUGUUCAAUUUUUCUCAACCUUCUAUCUUUGCACGGUCAAGCUAUUGAGGAUGACAACUACUACUUGGCCAAGUUACAAAGUUUAAGAUUGGGUUUUGAAUGAAUUCUUACAGUAGAGUGUUUACACAAUUUUCUCUCAUGAGUUUUUUUGAUUUCCUAGCACUUAGAGCUAAUACAGGAGAUUUUCAAGUGUUUGUAAUUUGUAAUGACAUGAAUUCUUCCCUUAUUUUCCGUUGUGGUUUUCUUCAUCUUUGUGAUGAUCAUAAAUCCUUUUAUAGAGAGCCAUUUUGUCCAUUAGGAUUUCUUACCAUUGUUGUGAUUGUAUGAAAUCAACAUGUGAAUUAAUAACAUGUAUCAAAUCUUUAGAGAUUUUGAAUCAACGUUAAAAGCUUGUCCAGAUUCGUCUUCAUAAUUGAUUCAACGUAUCUUGAUAGAAAUGGCAGAAUGGCCAGAUGAUGUUUCCCGCUUCUUCAAUCAGAUGAUAAGUCUACUAUGAUGAGCAGAUGAUGUUGGAGCGUAGACUUCUUAGCAUAGCGUUGACUUUAUCAAAUGGUCAAAUUGGAUGCCAAGAUUAUCAUACGCAAAAUCACUAAAGUGAACUUGUAUCAGAAAAUUUAGUAGAGAUGUGUAAAGAGCGAGCUUUUCAAAAUCAGUUAUAUAUCAACAAAUAUAUUAGAGUAUUGUCUAUUCAUCAGAGGAUGAAGCGUAAAGACAUUAAAUCUCGUGACAAGAGUCUGCAUAUUUAAAUAAAUUAUUUGCACAAUAAAUUGCUCCCAUAAAAUAAUUUCUAUUGUCAUCAAAACAAUUAAGGGUCAUUGUUUUCAAACCAACUUGAUUCUAAUAGAUGCAACAUCAAGAGAUAUUAGGGUUUCCAUCUUCUCCCUUUGUUGGACUACGAUAUGUUUUAGUUUAGCCCAUCAUCUUUUUAUCUACUAAAUCUUUUUAAGGUGCAUGUUUUGGGCCUUGUCAUUUGUGCUUUUGGGGUUCUCAAUUCUAAAUCAUAUAAGUCUCAUAUGAAUUUGGUGGAACCAAUGUGAAUCUUAAUGAAUCAAAUAGAGUGUGUUAGAAAGUAUGUGUUGCGGCCAUAAUUUUAUUUAUUUAUUUUGUGUGCAUGUUGCAGUACUUUUGUAAUUCAUGUAUUUCAGGUUGGUUGUGAUUGGCUUCAAUACCAGCUUUAGGGGUGUCACAAAAUACAAGUGUAGUUAGUUAGAGUAAGUCAAUUAGAAAGUUAAGUUAGUUAUAGAAUAAGGGCUUCAAAUAAGUUUCUCAUAGUAUAAUUGAUCAUCUUUUGGCAAUACAAAUUUUAAUAAAAAAAUUAUCUAUCAAACUUUAAUACUUUUGAUAUAAGAUAAAUCUUCCUCUCUUUGAUUCAUGAUUUUUAAUAAAAAGUGUUACAGAGCACUUGCCAAAAUCAUCUCUAUUUAUUUGAAUCAGUACAUUGAAUAUGAACCAGGAAAAUGGAUUAUGAUUUAAAGAAUGAUAUGGAUUUGAUUUUGCAUAUGGGUGUUUAAGUGCGGGAGGAAUUUGAGGUACUGCUUCAGCCGGACUUUGAGAGAAAGUGAUGAGUAUUGGGAUUCGGGGAGUGUGUAAUGUAAAGAUGUUUUUUAUCAUAUAAAAUGAUUUUUCUUACUAAUAUCAUAUACAACUAGUAUAGAACUUAUGCAUUGUUUGGACUAGCUUAAGAAAUUUUUGUGUUAUUUAUUAUUUAAAAUUUAUAUAUUAUUAUUUAUGUAUUUACUUUAUAAUUACUGAGUCAAAAAAUUUAUGAUUUAUCAUUUAUAGAAAUAUAAUAUUUAUGAUGGUAAAUUGUAAACCAUCAAAAUUUGUCAACUUUAUUUUUGUUUCAAUGAACAAUCAAACGAAGUAUAUAUAUAAAUUAUGUUAUAAUGAAAUUUCAUAAAAUCUUUUUGGAAGUAAUACUCGUUAAGAUCAAAUUAUACAUUUUCUUUUUACUGUAUUCAUAAUCGGUUGGAAAAAGAUUGAACAUAAAAUAUAGAUGUGAGCUUACAUAUGUGAAAGACAAAAAUGGAUAUAUAUAUAUAUAUAUAUAUAUAUAUAUAUAUAUUACAAUAUGGGUUUAAUCACAUGUUGCAAUAAUGAGUAUAACAACUAAGUAUAUUUUAAGAGAAAAAGGGUUGUGCAUUGUUAAUAUAAUUAAUUUUAUAUUGACAAUAAUAGAAAAAUUAAUCAAUAAACGAUAUAAGAAUGCCGUCAGUGUAAAUUAGUGUGGUCAUUAAACUAUUUUUGAACUCAUUAAUCAUUUACUAAAAAAGCGCCAAGUAGUGAGAGUAUAGUUACCUCUACCAACUUUCUGUCUCUAUUGCAUAAAAUAUUCAUCUCAUUUUGAUGCUCUGUAAUAAAAAUGUCUUUUUGUCUCUAUCACUUUCUAUUGCUAUUACAUCUUCUAGCCUCUUUCAUCGUUAAUGUUGUAUUUUCUCUAGCCUUUCACAUGUCUCCUUAAUAUUUAUUAUUACAACUUGCUUGCACUUUCAAUGCAUUCUUAAUUAAAUGGUGCUACUUGAUUUUGAAUUAAUAGUUAAUGCAGAUGUGUUUUUUUAUUUCAUUGUAAGUGCAAGUUUCUCAGAAGACAAUUUGCAUGUUGCAACAAAAAGUGUUAUUUUUUCCAUAUAAGUGUCAUUUUUUAAUUAGAGGGACGAGAAAAUAAAUAAAUAAUCAAGUGAUUUGAUUUCAAGAGAAAACGAAAAACUAAAAAAUUGCUAAUUAAACAGAAAAAAUUAUUAUGAAUGCAGAUUAGUGUAUAACAAUAUUGGAAUUUCAAUAAGGCCUGUAUUUAAACAUAAAGGAAAUAGUACAACAAAAUAUAAGGGGCAUACAAAAUUGUUGAGACAUCAAAUACUUCAAUGGAUGCAGUCAAUGAAUGCUAUAUUAAAAAAGAGAGCAUCCAUUCCAUGGCAAUAAUAUUGGUAUAUAAGAUAGUAAAAAGUAGCAAACAUGAGUAUUUGUUUUCAAUCAUUUGGAUGCCUUGUGGCCUGUUGUUUUGGUUUGGAUAGCUGUCGUGGACAUUAUGCGCAAUCGACUCGCUAUUUCGGUGAAGGAUGGCCUAGCUGCAGGAUUUGGAGCCCAACAUUGUUCCAUCAGUGUUCUCCAUUCAAUAUCACAAUAAUUUGGGAUUGUUGGUCUUAGUGUGUUGUUAACAAUCCCACCUGCAUGGGUGUAUAGAAAUUCAGAAUACCCUUUAAUCAUGAUACAGACGGGCCAUGUCUCGAUAAACAGCUUUAUUAAGCGCUUAUAGCAUAAUGUUUAUCAUAUAAAUGUUUAUGUGUAAGUCAUUUCUAUAACAAAAGAUAAAAUAAAGUCAAACAGUUUUCAUAUAAGCUCUAAGUUGUUUUAUAAGCUAUUAUAUAGAACUUAUGGAAAUAAGUUAAAAACUGCUUUCUGAACAUGACAUAAGUUAUUUUUAUAAUCUCUUUGAAACAGUCAUAAGUUAUUUUUAUAAUCUCUUUGAAACACUCUCACAAGUGCUUAUGUAAGUAGAUAAAGCUAUAUAAGUCAAACUAAACAACCUUAAGUGGAUUAAUAAUGAAUAACAUUUCAUUCUAAACCAAUGGCUAAGGCUUCAAAAAGGGUAUGGUGUUGUCACUGUUGAAAAAGACAACAGAAGAAGCAUUCUAUUAUAUUAUUCCUAUUUCAAUGAAAAAUAUAAACCUUUUUUCAAAAAAAAAUGCAACAAGAAUUUAGUUCAGACUCUUGCAAAGACAACAGAAUCAAACAAGAGCAUAAGAAAAAGACGGUACCUAUGAUUGCACCAUAGUGCAUAUUGGCAUAGGGCUCCUCACCGGUAAGAAUCUCCCAUAGUACUAUACCAAAGGAGAACACAUCAACCUACAAAUCAAAUUCAAUAUCAAAAACCAAAAUCUUCAAGCAACAAGGUGAAUGAAAGGAGAUACUGGCUCUCGUAACUCUUUCUCAAAAAAUUGUGGCUAGCAGAUAAGAUAAUUGAUAGCAAAUGAGUUUAUAGAGGAGGGCAGAUAAGUUAACAUAUUGAAUUUGAAGUAUUUGAUAAAAUUGUCAGUUUAACUAAACUAACCGAUAAAUUUACAAUGACAUAAAAGAAUAUUUUUAUUUAAUAUUUCAAUUUCUUCAAUUAAAAUACGAAGGAUAAAAACGAGAGGAAAAAAUUAUACACUAUAAGCUCAAACACUAUUUAACUUAGGAUCUAAAAAAAUGCUAUGAUGAACUACAGAAAAAAUGCUACAAACUUGUGAGAGAAGUACCAUUACCAAAGAACGCUACUUUUGUCAUAUGAGCUUAUAUGUAUAAGCUAUCCACUAUUAACUAUCAGUUCGGCCUUUGCCAAACAUACCCGAAGAAGAUAAAUAUAGAUUACAAUUGAAAUACUUCAAUUUCCAGAUAUUCCUGUUCAAACAUUACUGAGGUGAACGAUCCAAGCAUUCCUUAUGAAUAGAAGAUUACUAAAAUAGAAAAUAAAUAAAUAGGAAAAUAUGUAUGUUUUAAAACGCUCAAAAGCAAUUAAUUUAGACAAUUCAAAAUUCUACCUUUUCUGAGACCUUGUUGCUGCUACCAUUCAGCAGCUCUGGUGCCAUCCAAGGUAGAGUGCCCCGCACUCCACCAGAAACCAAGGUAUUUCGUUUAAUUUUCGACAAACCAAAAUCACCGACCUGGAAAAUUAAUUUUCUCAGUCUUCUUUAUGUUAAAUGUAAAGCAUUUUAAGUUCAAGGAAAAUAGGGAAAAAAUUUUUAGCAUCAAUACCUUGCAUAUUGGCCGUAAUGGAUCUUUUAAGUUUACAAGUAAAUUGUCACAUUUUAAGUCGAAAUGCACAAUGUUUUUGGAGUGCAAAUAUUCCAUUCCAAACGCUGCAUCCAUUGCAAUUAUCAAUCUCUUGCGACGAUCAAGAUACCUGCAAUGAAAAAUCAUGCAAAGAUUCUUAAAGUUAAAUUAAAUCCAUUUGUAAAACAUGAGAGAUUCAUCGCCACACACUCUUUAUGAUUUGAUAAAAUAUACUAGUAGCUGCUCUUAUUUAAGGAGCUACAAAAUUAUAAAAACUAAAAACGAUUUAAAUAAACACAUAAAUGCAUGGUUCAAUCUCUGCUACUAACAUUAGCUCCACCUCCUAGCAUAUAUAGUAUAUACUAACUACUAACAUUUGCCCAUAAAAAAACAAUUAUCUGAAUUAAACAAAAUGAAUUUUUGUGCACAUUGGUUGAAUAAUAAACUAAGCACAAGAAAUUAAAAGCUCUAUCUAGGUAUGCAUUACCUAUCCUUGCGAAGUAAUACAUGCCGAAGAGAACCAUCAACCAUAUACUCCGUAACAGUUGCCAUUGUUCCUCCUGGUCCAUCCUGCACCACACCGUAAAAUGCCACCACAUUUGGAUGAUGAAGCUUGGAAAGAAUGUCAGCUUCCCGCCAGAACUCAACAGUCUGAAAAAAAGCAGAUAUAGUUUCACAUCUCUCAAAGAUUAUCAUUAUCAUCGAAGACCUUUCAAGAAAAUGCAAAUAAGAUUAUCGUUACCAGUCUCUCUUGCUCAGAUGAUCGACCAGUGAAGCAGGUUUUCUUUAUUCUCUUAAUGGCAACAUCUGUUCCUCGCCAUUUUCCAUGAUAUACGGUUCCAAAGGUACCAGAACCUAGUUCCUUCAGCUCUUCAAGAUCUUCAUUCAUUAUGACCUACAAUUUGCAUCAGAACACUGAAACAAAUGAACUAAAUUUUCAUGACAGUGUUUAACCAAGACAUUGAAAUCUAAAGCAUGUGAAUGUUUUUGAAGAUAUAUACAGACAGCUAGAUGAUCACAAAAAUGUGUCACAACGUCAAAAGAGAAAAACAGCUAAAUGAUCACAAAAGUGCUAAAAUUGUUAAAUUAAAAGUAAAGUUGUAUGCAUUUACAUCUUGUUGUGGGAAGGAAAUUUCAAAAUAAGAAAAAACCAGCAACUACUGAUCCACUAAGAGAAUGUGAGGUCAUGGUUUAGGAAGCGGCAAGUUUGUAAGGAAUUUUCUUGGUGGCAUUUUCAAAAUAUAGGAGACCGACAGUACAUUGGUUAUGAGUUUUAGAUAAACAGAGGAGAAAAAGUAUUGCAUCUUCGAAUAUUAUUGAGAAUGACUUGAUAUAAAAAACUAAACACUAACCCCUAUAUAUAGAGAUACAAGACUCCUAAUCUUAAAUAAAUAGAGAAAUCAAGAAACAAAUAACGAUAAUAGCAAGUAAUAUGGAAACUAAUCCUAGGAGAUAAGAUACUCUAAGAUUAGAGAAGUUGAUCUUGGGAAAUAGAAUAAGAUAUUCAAACAUAGUAUCAAAGAUAUUCAGAGAUAUUUUAUAUAUACUCUUAACAGGUAGAAUUAGAACAAUGAGCAUUCAGUGAUUCUAUUUCCUGUUGCAGCAACAAACGCAACAUUUAUAUGCUUUAUAUCAUAAUAAGUGGAUGGGAAUAUAUUGACGCGACAAUGUCAUGUUCAUCACUAAAUUGCAAACAUCCAAAUUUACUUCCAUUUUAAGCUUCUGAAAUCGGAUUAACAAAACCUCCAUUAUAAAUUAAAAAUAAAGAAUCAGACAACAAAACAUGGCAUUAAAUAGCAAUUAUUUACACAUAAGAUAUCAAUUCAUUUAAAAUUCACAGCACAGAAGAAAUUUUGCACAUUCAAAAAUGAACAUCUUACCUGCAAGGUACUCAUAUCAAAAUCUCCUAAAGAAGGAUCAAGAGGAGGUAGACUGCUAUUUUUCUUUUCAAAUUUCCCAACCUAAGUUAAAGCGAUAAGAACAUGUGUCAGUACAUAAGCAUAUUCGGUCGGAAGAUUCUCAACACACACAAAAAACUAAAAUGGUACCUCAUACUCUGACUCUUGUGCUCUUACGUUUUCCAACAUAGCAUCAAAUUGCAUACUUUCAGUUUCAUUAAUUUGGGACUGGUCAUAAUCAGAUUUCAGAAUAGUAGUUUCUGUUCCAUUUUUUCCAUGCAAGUCUUUCUGAAUUUCUUCCCCAAAAUUGAGAUGGAAUUCUGCAUGGUUUAGAGGAACUUCAUCGGUAGUUAAAGGUGUAAUAUGUUGAGCUCUAUUAUCUCCAACAACUUUUCCAAUAGCAGGUGAAAAAACAAGAUGAUCCUGGUCAAUAAGAGACGCAUUGUCGACCCCUUCUUGUGCCAAUUUUUGAAAAUACGACCAUCGUUUAGGGUCAGGAUUUUCCAUGUUUAUACUUAGGCUCAUUCCAUCUGAAGCUAAUGGAUGUUGACUAGAGGAAUCUUCUUCUUCUAGUAUUGCUUUGGAGAACAUAUCAUUAAGCAAUUCACGGGGGAACCGAUCAUUAAUAUCGAUAAGAAUGUCACCUUGUGCUUGAGAAUCAACUUUUGUAGUUGCGUUUGCAUUCAAAGGGACGGGUAGUGCAUGAAUGUUAAAAUCAUCGUUUGAUUCUUUCACAGAGGUGUCACCCCAAUCAACAUCUGGAAGAUUAGAUGCCGGAUCAUCGUGGUGCUUAACAGAUGAAGCUUGGUGAAAAGUAGGGAUGUUUGAUUUACCUUCAAGCGGAUAUAUUUCCGUUUCCAACGAAACAGUAUUGUCCUUAUUUAACAUAUCAUUGGUUCCUUCGUUAUCUGGUAAUACCUGCUUCAACUCAGGAUUCACAUUCUCGGUUAGCUUUGACAUAAUCAUCGGACUGCUAGCAUCAGGCAUCUGUUUGUAUAUUUGAUGAUUUGCAGCCGCAUUAUCAACAGCAUAACCAUCUUCAUGCAAGUUGUUACCAGAGUCUUUAGCUGAAUCCUGCGAGUUGACACCAGAAAGUAAAUCCGAAACGUGAAACUGAGAAUUGUGCGCAUCAUCCGAUUUCGAAGACCGAUUCAGCAACUCUACUGGCUCCCUAGGAAUCCUUUCCGAAUAAUAAACUCUUUUAGGAAGUGGAGGAGGAUGAAGACAACUCAAAUCAACUGCAUUGGAGCGCGAAUCAACAUAAGGAGUACCGUAUGCACUGCUAGAAGUAGAAGAAGCCUCGUCAUAAUCUUCGAGCUGGUUUGUUCUUGUUGGAGGCAAAGAAUGUCCCUCAGGGGCAUUAACUACAACACCUGCUUCAGGAAAAUCAUUUUUUAAGAAACCGUCAAACAGAUGCGAAGGAGACGGCGAUAGCGUUUCCGAGGGUACAACUUUCCCAAGAUCACCUCCGUGUUGAAUUGAACUGUCACUCAUCUUUCUAAUGAAAGUUCCUGGUAUUUCUGAAUUUUGUACUUGAAAUCCACUAGGUGGAUGACCUUCAUUGAAAACCCCUUGUUGAAUACUCGGCACAUGAGGAAGCAUAUUAAUAGGCAUUUCUUCAAUAAAAGGUUUAUAAGAAGGAUUAACACCAUGAUUCAUAAGAUAUUGACCAUGACCAUUAGGCUCACCGUGGCGCAUCAUCUGAUUGCCAUAAAACUGUGGAUACAUUUCGUAUGAAUUCGAUGGAGUUGGUAGCACUGGUUGUGAAAAAUGAGUAGGCAAUGACGAGUCAAAAUUGUUCGUCAGUGGAGCAUUUCUGAAAAAUGUAGAUUCAACCGCGACUCCAUUAGCCUCCCCACCAAUAUUUUGCCUGUCUAAUUCAUUUAUAUCGUUUGCAGAAAAGCUGAAACCAACCAUGGAGUUUUUUCUUGGUUCCAAGUCCAUGCCAUUAACAGCAAUAACAUACUGGAUUUCAGAAUCAUCACUCGUGCAGCCGAGACCAAACUGAGUAUCCUCCAAAUCACUGAUUGAGAACAAAAACAUCCUAAGCUUUUGUGAUCCUUCUCUAUCUUCUAGAUGAUUACAUUCUUCCAUCAUGUUCUGUAAAUCCUCAUCAGAUGACACAGAUACCAAAGCAUCAAGAUCUUCACCGGGAAGCUGAUACUUAAUUGUAUGAACCUGGUUAUAGAUUACCAAUGCUUUCUGCAUAAGCUCGUACCAAGAUAAGUCCGUUCUUAUACGGAGAAUAUGCGUUUGGCCUCCAACAUACCUUAGUUUUCCAUCACUUGGUCGCGGCAAUAUUCUACCGCCAAAGCUGCAAAGAAACUUCAUCAUCAUCGAUGAGUUGUCGUAACUUUCAGAAGAGCCAUAUCCAUAUCCAUGCACAAACUGUCUGUUGUCCUGAUUCAUUGAAGUUCUUGGUAUCGAUCGAAUUGAUCCAUAGUUGCUUCUGUCUCCAAGCAUUGAUACAUUCAUUCUAUCAAACUCCUUAGGAUAUUUCUCCACCAUUGAUAGCAUGGAAAUGUCUGAUCCACUUUCAGAUCCUCCAUGACUGAUGCCUAAAAUGCCUUUGAGUUCCAUAUAACCUGUUGCAUAAUUGCGAUCGCCGACAUUUGAAAACACAGGCUUCACGAGAUUCACCCGAUCUCUCAUAAACUCAAGAGAGAAUUCCUCACCCGUCUGAAUUGAGUAAUGAUGUACAGGUUUAACUUCCGAUGUAUUGAGGUCAGGUGGUCUUCUACUAUUAUAAAUGUCAUCCAUAUGAUCAUGCAUUACCGACUGUGAUCCAGACUGGUAUUCAUUUCUAGGAUCCAUGCUUUUGUUUAGAAACUUCUUCUAGAGUCUCGAUCAUUGCAUCACACCAUCUUUUUUUGUCUUUAUAAAAGAAAAAUACAUUAUAAGUUUGAACCAAAAAGAUGUUCUAAACUUUUAGUAACUGACUGGUAAAGUCACUAUAUACAAAUUUGAAGCAGCAUUGCCAAAUCUUGAAAACUCUCAAGAACUGUUUUGUUGUACCUUUUUCUCCAAAAAUGCUAUUUCAAGUGUAAAGAAACUUCCCUGUAAACAGAAUGGAAUCAAGACAACCAUUAGCAACAAAUUAACAUGCAAUAAGAUAUCAUAUAAAUGGAAACCAAUAUACACGAUAUUUAUAACUGCAAAAAACAAUAAAUGUUAGCCACAUGAAGAUCAAAUAUGGAAGCCUACACAAUGACAGCACCUUUUGCUAAAUUAACAUCAACAAAUUUAAGGCAAUAAAUUUUUUUAAAUUGAAUGAUGGAUUGGGGAAGUGGAGUGUUAUAUUUCACCAUCGGCAAUUCAGAUUGAAGACGUGUUCGGUGUCUGACACUGACACACGUGGUUACAUUCAACCACUUUCACUUUAUUAAAUAACUGUUAGUGUCUACGUCUCAGCGUCAUGGUCGUGUCCAGUGUUCGUGUCUGCACACUAUUUUUCUCCAUGACAGGACUUGGAUGACUAUAUUUAUUUGAGAUCAUGCAAGCUCGAAUGUGAAUGUCUCGGUAAGUUUCCAAAUAAAUUACACAUCUACUCUUGCCACUACAAUUUUGGAAAUUUGUAAACUCUUCGAACAAUUAAUCUAAGAUGUUUCCAACUAUUGAAUUCCACAAACUAUUCUAACUUUCCAUUAUCUUAAAAUCAAACUUAACAAGCUGAAUCCAUUCAGAGGUAAAUCAGGAAAUUACAAACAAAGUUACAAAUAGAAGUUAAGCAAAAGACCAUUACCAAGCUUAAACAUGAAACACCAUUGGACAAAAAAAAUUAUCAAAUAUAAAAAAUCUUUUUUUUUGAAAUAAUAUAAAAACAUCUUAAAGUAACAAAUUUGGUCAAAAUAGAGAAAAAAAUGAGAACCCCGGAAUCAAGAUAUCUAAACCCAAGAAUGCGAAUCUAGGGUUCUUCCUUUUGUAUUUGAACUUUACAUCACAAUGGAGUAAACAAAAAUAUAUAACCAAUAAACAUAAUCAUAAAAGUAACGAAAAUAUAUAUAAUAUGAAACUAAAUCUAGCUACCCAAUGAAGAAAAAAUUAAUAAAAAACAAAACUUUCACUUACCCAUUUUACCUCAGUUCAAAGGAUGCAGCUUUGAUUCAAACAAUGGAUGAAAUAAAAUGAGAAAAAAAAAAUCAUUCUAUUUGAAUCCAAAAAGAGAGGUUAGAGAGGAAAACGAAAUGGACCACAUUUAUGGAUUUGGUUCAGUUUGUUUGGAUAUUACGCAUUAAAUUGAGGUUAGUUUAAGAGGAAAGAGUNNNNNNNNNNNNNNNNNNNNNNNNNNNNNNNNNNNNNNNNNNNNNNNNNNNNNNNNNNNNNNNNNNNNNNNNNNNNNNNNNNNNNNNNNNNNNNNNNNNNNNNNNNNNNNNNNNNNNNNNNNNNNNNNNNNNNNNNNNNNNNNNNNNNNNNNNNNNNNNNNNNNNNNNNNNNNNNNNNNNNNNNNNNNNNNNNNNNNNNNNNNNNNNNNNNNNNNNNNNNNNNNNNNNNNNNNNNNNNNNNNNNNNNNNNNNAAAUUUGUAGUUGAAGUUGUGUUGUGCAGAAAAAGACGCUCCUUUUGGUUUCUCUGUCAACUAGUUGCACCCAUCACCGUCCUUCUCAUUUUCGUUGGUGCCGAAAGUUUUUUUUUUUUUUGUUUUGACGGUGAUGACGAAAGUUAUUUUAUUUGUUUUUUUAUUUCUAAAUUUAGUCAAACGAGAAAUAUACAAUCCAGUUCUUUAUUAUUAAUGGUAAUAAAUGAGUAACGAGUAAUCCAACUGCGAACUACAAAAGAUACGGGUAUAUACAAAGUAUUAUUAUUAUUAUUAGAUUUAAUUUUAAUUUUACGGGAAGUUUGUUUAAAGUUUUAAAAAAUUUACUUUGACUUUAUAUUUUUUUUUUAAAUUUAUAAAAAAUUUAUUAAUAAUUAUAAAAGUUUUUUAAAUUUAUUUAUUAAUAAAUAAAAAAUAAUUUUGACAUUCAAUAUUAAAGAUUUUAAUAUGAUAAAAAUCACGUUUAAAAAAAUAUAGACAUAAUUGUUCUCGUAGUCCUUUAACUUAAUUUCAGAUAAUAUUUCAGCAUUUUAUUUUAUUUUUUCGAUUUAGUCAUUUAUUUAAUUUUAAGUAAACAAUUUGAUCUUUUAUAUUUUACAAAAAUUCAUCAAAAUUUUUAAAUAAAAUUCAUAAAAUUAAUUAUCAUCUUCAAUAUAAUGUAAAUUUCAUCAAAUUUAUAACUCAAUUCUUCAAAUAAACUCAACAACAAAAAAUGACUGAAGUGUUAUCUGAAAUUAAGUUAAGGAACCGCAUGAGCAAUUGCACUAAAAAUAUAUAUCUUUCAAAAAUAAUUUUUAUAAAGAACUUCUCAAAAUAGCUUUUUAUUUUAAUUAAAUUUUAAAAUUUUACUAUCUAAAAGAAGUUGUAGAAAAUAAAUGAAAUACUUUAAAUUAUAUUUUAAGAUACACUAUUUAAAUCAAUUUUUUAUUUAAAACUUUAUUUUUAAUUUCUUUUUAAAAUAUUAUAAAAAAAGAAAAUACUAGAAAAAUUAAUUAAAUUUUUUUUUUAACCAAACGGAUUAUUAGUCUCUUAUUUGAACGAUUUUUGAAUUUUAAUCUCUCAAUUUUAAAUGAGCUGUUUUAAUUCUCUAAUUUUGUAAUUUUUAAAUUUAGACAUCAUUUUUCAUUUAAGUUCAUGUGAAACAAUUUAAUAUAAUGUGUUAUUUAUUAAUAUAAUAAAUUAUUUCCAUGUCAGAAUUAUAUUUAAAUAUAUAAAUUCUUUUUAUAUAAUAAAUAAUUUUUGAAUAUUAAUUUUUUUUAAAGAAUUUACAAAAUAAAAACAAAAUUAGUGUAAAAACCUGUAAAAUACUUGGAGAAAAAAAAUUAAAAAAAAACAGUAAAAAUCAGAAGAAAAAAUAAUUAAAAAAUCAGUAAAAUCAUUAGAAAAAUACCAGCAAAAUGUCAAACAAUUUCAGAAAAAUAGAAUUAAAAAAUUGUAAAAAUCAAUAAACUUACUUGAAAAAUACCAUUAAAAAGGAAAACCAAAAGAAAAAAAACAGUAAAAACUUAUGUAAACCAGGAAAAUCAAAAAGUAAAAAACAAUAAAAAAUUGUAAAAAUCUAGAAAAUUAGUAAAAAAAAAAAAAGGCAUAACACUAUCAUUUACAAAAUAAGGCAUAUCAUCUAAGCUUAACUAUCUAAGACCAAACUAUCUUGACUCGGUGCAAGUGCUAUUUGAGGUUGAGGUGCUUGAGAUCCUUUAGAUAGCAAAGUUGAUACUUGUAAUCCUUGAGGUUGAGGUGCUUCUAAACUUUCGCCAACUUGUUACUACUUAUGCGACUUAUGCUUAUGCAUAAAUAGGUAAUAAAUAGCAUAAUGUAUAUAAUUAUAACAUACAGUUACAAGUUUUGAUCAACAACAAAAAUCAUAUAGUUCCAUCAUAUAUAAGUUGCAUUUUUCCACCUUUAGGUAUCACUCUACCAGCAGUUGUUUUACCCUUGCAAGUCCUUGAAUUGUGACCAAACUUUCCACAUAUUUUGCAUUUCACAGUUGGAAGAUGUCUCAAAAGUAUGUUACGAUUCUUGGGCUCAUUGUUACUGUUAUUUCUUAUUUUUUGGGUUUUCCGAUGCUCUUCUCAUACGUAGUAGAUUUAUUGACUCAUUAUCUAUAAUGGGCCAAAGCUUUGGACCAUUUGAAGGUAUGAUGAUGUAAGAAUAUGUUGUCAUAAAUGUUUUAUUGUAUGAAGUAAUGAAAUUAAAUAACUUAAUAAGCGAAAAUCUGAACUACAAAAUUGAAUUGAAUUAAUAAUUUAACAAGCAAAAUUAAAUAUACCUAUAACAUGAUACAACAUAAUCCUCUCGAACUUCAUGUUUAUACCACAUGCAGGUAAUACUAUGACAAUAUGAUAUACCCGUUUAAAUCUCAUUUGUGUAAAUUGACAACAUAUUGAUCAUUCUCAUUAUCUGCUUGAAAUAUGUCAUGCUCUACAUCACCGGCCCAAUGUGGAGACCACCAAUUUGUUGUCCUUUUGGUAUUUUCCAACAAUUGUUGGAUCUUUGGACAUAAGUUACUUGAAUAUGUGGUUAGCUCCUUGGAAGAGUUUUUUUAUUUUUGUUUUCAUGUAAUAUUUGUUUAGGUUUUAGGACGGGAAACACUAAUAAUAAAUGAGGUCUCUUCUUCUGAGUAAAUUUCCAUAACUCAUCUCCAUUUAUUAAAGGGUGAUCUAAAUAAUCAAUGUAGAGCUGACAAAUAAGAUAAUAUUAAUGUUUUAAAAUUGUUAGUUUCCUUUGAGUAACAAUUCUUUUUGAAAUAUAAUUUUUUAGUCCCUCGAGCAAUGUAAUGAUAGGUUUAUCACAGUGCUCCAAUAUGGUUUUGUUGAAUGUUUCACACAUAUUGUUGACUUAUAGGUCACAUAGUGUGUUAGUGUUGUAUGCACACCUUGUCCGUAUCGCACUGAAUAAUAACGGUGUUGUUCGGAUUUGACCUCCUUUACUCCUCUGCAUAACUCAAAUGUGAGUAUUGUUCACUAAGAGCCCCUUGUAUUAUUUCAAUUGCUCUAUACCCCAAACUUUUAACCACUUUUAAUAAGUUUAAAUGUGUCUUUAGUGCCUGUGAAUGUACCACUUUUUAUUUUAGUCCUCAUAAGUUUUUUGUUUGGAUUUAGUCCCUGUAAAAUCAUAGACGAUCGACUUUGGUCCCUAACGUUGUAAAAAAGAGUUGUCAAACAACCGUGACACAUGGCUUUGUAAAUGCACACCAACACAUCAUCUUUUCUGAUAUAUUAAAAAUUAAAAUGUUUAUUUUAUUAAUUAAUGAAUUUAUUUUUUUAUCAUUUAAUAAUUAGUGUUAUUUUGUAAAAAAAAUAUGAAUAGAAAUUAAAAUAGGUGUCUGAGGGUUUUUGGAAAACUCAUCUUCUUUCCUGCCAUAAACCAUGAAACUCUUUUCUUCUUGACUCUAUCCAUUGAUGUCUCUCUCUACUUUCAAUUAUAUAUCACAGAAAUGUGGUAGGAAGAGAAAGUCGAUGAUAUGGCUGGAGUGAAGGGAAAAACUAAGUUUUAGAGCCACAUGUAUGGAGUGUUGGUACUAACAUUAUCCCUCAUCUAUCAAGCAUUCUUGUAACACUCCUAUUAGACGGUAUAUUUUUGAAGCCAAUUGAGUGUUUGUGGUAAGAAAAUGAAAGUAGAUAGACGUUUAUGAAUAGAGAACAAAAGAGAAUAAUUUUAUGAUUUAUGGCAGAGAAGAAGACAUGUUUUCUAAAAACCCUCUUUUAAUUUUUAUUCAUACUUUGAUAUAAAAUAAUACUAAUUAUUAAAUAAUAAAUAAAUAAACUUAUUAGUUGAUAAUUAAAACAUUUUAAUUUUUAAUAUAUUAUAAAAGAUGUGUUGGUGUGCAUUUAUAAGACUAUAUGCCACAAUUGUUUUUCUCUUUUUUUUUGUAGACGUUAGGGAUCAAGGACCUAGGGGGUGGACAAGAUUUUGCCACUGCCCAAAACUUUCAUAAACCGAUGACGACGACAAACAUUCGGGUAGGUAGAAGCGGUUUGUUGGUUUGUCGAAAAUGAAAAACAAUUUCGUGGGAGUUCAAUCGGGCGGGUUCGGGUGCUAAAAACUCACCGCCGGUGACCGUAGCCACUCGAGUAGAAGAACUUAUAAGGAAGAUGAAGAUAUAUUAGAAGUUUAGAUGUGGUUGUCAUAUAUGAAAUACGUAGAAACUAAAAUACAACGAAAGUAUUUUGUUUAGUAUGUCUUAUUCCAAAGAGUUUGAUUGCUUUAUUGAAAUGUGAAAAACUUACUUUCUUGGUAACACAAAUGAUGGUGUAUUAAAUGAGAAUUCAAAUUUUUCCUAUCUCCAUUGGUAUUAGGUGGAGACUAUAGAUUAUUUUAAUUUAUAAAAAUACUUACUUUUUUAAAAGAAAAAUAAUACUACUAAAUAUUUGAUAAUCACAUAUGAUAUUUUUCCUUCUUGUACACUUGGUUGCAUAGCAAUCAUUGACUACAGAGAUCACCGCAGCAAAUAGGAAAAAAAUGUCAAAAUCGACUACUAUAAAAGGAGUACAAACCGUAUUAACCGAUCCGUCGAAACCGUCACCCGACCAAACUAUGACCCGCUGAAACCGACAUAAAUGGGCUUUAUUUUAUACCCAUUGGUUUUGUUUCGGUUGACAACUUUCGACCCAAAACUGCUCGUUGUACACCCCUACAAGAAUCAAAGUCGUCUAUGAUUUUACAAGGACUAAAUAUAAACAAAAAAACUGAAGAAGGCUAAAAUCAAAAGUGGUGUAUUUACAAGGACCAAUGACAUAUUUAAACUCUUUUGAUAUAUUCGUGUAAGAUAUGACAUUGACAUCCCGACCAUAAUGCAUUUCUUACGAAAAUAAUGCUAAAUGGUGCAAAAGUGUUUUCGUAAAAAAGACAUAAAUUAGUGUUAUUGUUAUAACCAUCGAACUAAUGUUAUCUUUAUUUGUUUCUAAUUUUAUUUGAACAUUUUAUUUUAAAUUGAAUUCCAAUUAAGACAUGUAUUUAACCACUCUAAUCCUUAUAAACUUAAUGUUUUGUCCCAAACUCCUUUUUCUAGUCUAUUCAACAAUAAUAAUGAGAUUGUAUCUAGCUUUCUUCUUAAAAUAAUUUUAUAUAAAAAUUGAAAAUAACAUGAUUUUAUAACAUUUAGUAGCCCUCAAACUACAAUUAGAAACAGAUAGUUGCCAUCAAACUACAAUCAGAAACAAUUACAAGCAAAUUAUAAACUAGAGUUAUAAAAUUAGUAGCAAACUCACUAAGAACAAUAUAAUUACAAGCAUAACUUAUGAAAACUUUAAACAAUACAAUAGAGAUUUGAGAAAAUAGACACAUACUUAAAUACAAUUGACGAUUUGAAGAUGAAGUCAUUUACACGGUUGAUGAUUCACAAAAUACGAACAUUAUGAAUCGCCGACAAAACAAACGUAGUAAAAUUGCGAGUUAUAAAAACACAUAAGAAUCAUGAAAUCAAUAUAGCAGAAACACAUAAGAAGUGCGGUGAAUGAUGAACACGGAAGAACAGAGCAAGUGGUUGAAACACACAGGUGAAUAAUGAACAUAGAAGAAUAGAUUUAUCACAUAUGAAAAUGUUGAUGAUGUUGAAUUCGCAAGUGAAUUAGGAACCUCUCCAAUCCAUGAUCAAACUAGCGUUCUAUGAAAUAUGGGUCUUUCCUUCGCCUAUCCUAUGUGUCGGCUUGGCUUCGUCCAUAACCAAGGAGGCAUUCUGGUAGGCAUCUGUGUGUAGCAAGGACGACCACUAAGCUAAAAGACUACGAUGACUACAACGGAAGCUGUUGGGGUUUUCCUUUCCUUUUUUCUAUAUUGACUUUGAAUCAAUUUUUCUUUUUAAAAGAAAACACAAUUUCUUUUUUCUUUUUGAAAAAUAAUUGUGUUUCUGAAUUAAUUAAUAAUAGUUUUUUGUUUUACAAUGAAAAAAUUAUAUCUGAUAGGAUAGUAAAUUUUAAAUUAGUAAAUGUUAUAUCAUAUUAAAAUUGUGUCGCGUCAUCAUAAUGAAAAAUGAUGAAUUUAAUUUCAAAAUUUAAAUAAAUUAAGGGAUCAAAAUUACUCAUUUAGAAACCAGGGGACUAAAGUCUAUAAAUUGCUAAAUCAAGAGGAUUAAAAUUGUAAUUUAUUAUUAUUAUUAUUAUUAUUAUUAUUAUUAUUAUUAUUAUUAUUAUUAUUAUUAUAAUAACUUGUUUGGUAAGUGAUUUUAGAACUAGAGUUAGUUAGAAACACAUUUAGUGCUCGAGAGUAGUGGAGGAAUAACAACAUAAAGUACAAGAUCUUGUCAAAGAUGAUUGCAUAUAUAUUAGUUAUUCCUAUCUUAUUUGUGGUAUAAGAGUAUAUAUUUACUGUUGGAGCUAGAGUUAUUGAUGACUUUUGUUUCAGAUUGAAUAAAAAAUUAAUUGAUGCACUCAUUUUAUGGUAAAUUGAUUUCGUCAUAAGUUUUAACAUGAAUAAAAAGUCUAAGGUAAACAAUCUUUAUUUUGUUAUCUUUUUUUUACAGUAUAUUUUAAUUAACAAUAAAUUAAAUUCAUUUAGUUUUUUAUAUUUAAUUUGAAGGUAGCAUAAAAACAUAAAGAUGUCACUUUGAAGAUUUGAUGCAAUAUUUUUUCACUUUAUGGAUGCCGCAUCUUUUUAAUUGUCAUAUUUGAAUUGAAAUAUUAUUUAUGUAAUGAUUUUUUUUUGGUUAUAUUUUUUCAAUUGACUUAUGUAAAACUUAAAUCCUAUUAUGGUUGAAAUUAUAGAUUGUUUACUUAUUUAAAAUUCAUAAUCUUGUUAUAAUGUUAUUGACUUUGUUUAGUAACUUGAGGUUUAAGGUCUAUUUGGUUGUAUUAUUAUUUUUUUAAUUUCAAUUAUCGUAUUAUAUUUUAUAAAUUAAUUGAGGACUUAUAUUUGGUAUAGUGGUAAAGUAAUAAGCCUUUUGUCUUUUAGUCUAUUUAGUUUUAGGCAUGUUGACCUAUUUAAUUAUAAUUGUAUUUAAAUGUUUUAAUACGAAAAAAAAUAAGUUUUUAAAUAUGCUUUUAGGUCUGAUAGGCUUUUAAAAAUAUUAAACCUGACUUCAAAAAGUGUCUUAUGAUAAAUAAUUAGAUCAGACUCGAACUUUAAAUUUUCAAAACAGAUUAAAUUUAUUUAAUCAAAGUCUAACUUGACUUGACUCAUUCCACCCUUAGUCACGCCUAAUUUAAAAAUUAUUCAUAUUAUAUAUAUUAAACAUAGUUGAGAAAAUGUGAUACUAAGAAGAGUGAUCCUUUUAGUAAAAUAAUUUUAUUACUUACAUAAUAUACUACAAAUGAUAAAUAAUUAUGUCAUUUGGACAGAAGUUUUUAAUUAUUAAAAGAUGUAAAUAAAAAAUAUAUGUUUGAAAAUUUCAGAUUUCAAAUAUAUUUAACUUACAAUUUGAUAUUUGUAAAAAGUUAUUCAUCCCCACAAAUUAUCAUAUUUUUCACUCAAAUUCCUUGUGACUUGGACUUAAAUAUGAAAUUUCACAAUCUGAGUUUAAAUUUACAUUUUUACAGGUAAUUCUAAAUGAUAUAAAAUUAUCUAUAGAUUAAUAGUACUCUUAUAUAUGGUGUGUCUCAUAAAAUCUAUUUUUUUUAUCCCAAUGAAAGUCUGUCCUAUCAAAUCAAUCCACAACUUGGCAGGCAAAUAGAAUGAUGACAUAUGUAUCUGACUGUCGGUUUUUAUUUUUUUUUAUCAAAGUCGGCCUUGUUUUUUCUGACCUUGGACACGAAAUGUAAGGAUAUAUUCAGAUACAUAAUACAAAUGUCAAUAUGAAUUUUAUUAAUUAAUUACUUAUUUAUAGCUAGUUUACUUAAAGGUUAAGAAUUAUUGUGUUGGAAAUAUGUAAGCACGUGCUCAUUUAUUGGAGGAUCCGUAUAUUCUGCAAAUUAUAUUAUAAUUUAUAUUAUUACCACCUUGACUCUAUUUUUUAAAAUAUUUUAUAUAGAUAUAGAUUAUAUAAAUAUAUAGAUACAUUGAGCUGGACUUAUUUUAUAUGAAAGUGAUUUGAUCAACUGGUCUUGCUUGUUAAUAUCGGAAAUUUUAAUGAUAUCUUAUCUGUUGAAGAGAGGAAAAGAAAAAGACUUAAAUGACAUCUUCACUUAUUAGAGAAUUUAGAUAUGUGAUUUUAGAUAUGCAGUUAAAAAAGUUUGGACACUACUAAAGUUGUAAAAGAAAAAUUAGAUAGGAAUAUUACAAAUCAGGAAUGGCUUGAAUCUUUCUAUCACGCUACUCUUAAAAGUCUAUCGAUUCUUGCUUCAGAUCACUAUCCAAUACUUCUAUCAUGGUCACAUGCAACAUACAGAUCUUCACAUAGUCACUUCAAAUUCAAGAAUGCUUGGUUAGUCGAAUAUGAUUUUCAUAAAUUUGUAUGUGAAAGGUGGCAUUCUUUUGGUCAAAAUUUAAUCCUAAAUAAAUUGUCCAUGUGUGUUGGGGAUCUAUCUCAUUGGAGUAAAGGUUACUCUCAAAGUUUGGAAAAAGACAUUACUUAAUGUAAGAAGAAAAUUGACCGAACGAGGAAUCAAGUACAUUAUGGUAAUAUUAAUCAUUUUGUGGCUUUGAGAAAAUGCCCGAGUCACUUGCUAGUUACGUAAAAUGCAUUUGGCUUCAGGGAGCGAACAACACUAGUAUAGAGAUAGGGAAUUGAACACAAAAUUCUUUCAUGCGACAACUACUUCUAUAUGAAAAGUUAACCAUUAUUAAGUAUUGUGAACAACUCUGGUGCGAGGUUGACAUAAGCUCCUGAUUUGUGCAAUGAGGUUUAUACUUAUUUUUUUAAAAAAAUCCAACAACAACAUAGUGUUGUUGCACCGGUCCUUAGUGUGACUACCCCAUAUAUCUCAUAUGCUGAUAAUGCUAGUAUCACUGCACCUUUCACCUUAUACGAAUUCAUAAUGGCCAUAUUAAGUUAGACAAAUGCCCUGGUCUUGAUAGUUUCUAGCCCCGAUGUCUACCAACACUUCUGGUCAAUGUGUGGCGCUAAAAUAUAUCCAGAAUGUGUCUCUUGGUUGUCGACAAAUGUUUUUCUAUCUAAUAUAACAUGAUUAAUAUUGCUUUUAUUCCUAAAGGUGAUGAGCAAGUCUCUACGAAGGAUUGACAUCCCAUUACUUUAUGCAAUGUGUUGUAUAAGUUGGUAGCUAAAGUACUAGCUAAUAGGUUGAAACGAGUUUUUGAUAAGUGUAUCUCGGAUAGUCAAUCAGUUUUUUGUAACACUCCAACCAUUACUGUUACCGACGAUGCUACCUCACGACCUUCUCGCCCCCCUCUUUCCCACCGUUGGAAAUCUGGCAAGUUUGUGCCUUCCGUGGGAUUUGAGCCCGGUACCUAGGGGAUAAGUACCGCCUCCACACAGUCCCACUACCAAUUGAGAAGGUCGUGAGGUAGCAUCGUCGGUAACGGUAAUGGCUGGGGUGUUAGUAACACCCCAGUCACUACUGUUACCGGCGAUGCUACCUCACGACCUUCUCGCCCCUCUCUUUCCCACCGUUGAAAAUCUGGUGAGUUUUUGCCUUCCGUGGAAUUCGAGCCCGGUACCUAGGCGAUAAGUACCACCUCCACACAGUCCCACUACCAAUUCAACCACUAGCUCAAUUGCCAGCUCAAUUGGUAGUGGGAUUGUGUGGAGGUGGUACUUAUCCCCUAGGUACCAGACUUGAAUCCCACGGAAGGCAAAAACUCGCUAGAUUUCCAACGGUGGGAAAGAGGGGGGUGAGAAGGUCGUGAGGUAGCAUCGCCGGUAACGGUAAUGGCCGAAGUGUUACAUGUUUGUACUAGACAGGUCCAUACUUGACAAUGCUAUGUCAACUAUUGAGAUUGUGCAUUAUAUGAAAACCAAGACUAAAGGAAAAUCAGGUGAUGUUGUUGAAACAAACUCUCAAAUUAAAGUUUUGAUGAAAAUAAACAAAGGUUAAUUAAGAAUGUUAAUUAUGAUUCUAAAAUGUUAUGUUAAAUUAACUUGUGCUUUUGAGUGAAUUUAUUUAAAGAUAGGAAUCAAGCAAAACAAAGAAAACAACUCAAAACUGAAACAAGAUCAUUCUGGACAAAACGGAGAAUGGUAUCCAAGUUCAAGAUUGAUCGUCAUAGCAUCUUGACCAAUCAAUCUCCACUAAUUCAACAAAGCUUUUUUCUCUGAAUCUUAUGUUAAAACCAUCAGUACAUGGCAAGGAACAAAUAGGUGUCAUCUCAGCAGAAGAAGGUUCUCAAAUCAUUAAAAUAAAAGAACUCGAAACAGACCAUUUGAAACAGUUUGGAACCUCUUCAGCCAAACUGUCAAGAAAGUUCGAUCAACCUUGAUAUAUGCAAAGAGAUUACAAAGACAUCCAGAAAGAUCAAAACAUGAACUCCAGAUUGAUCAUCAAUCUCCAGAAAGAUCAAAUUUCUAGAACCAGAUUGAUAAUCAAUCUUCAUGUUCUACAUCAAUCCAACAGUGUUCUUUCUACUUCUGCAUUGAGUUAUAAUCAUUCUCCAAACUAUUUUGAACAAGAUUCAAAGUUCCAAAUCAAGGUUGUAACAUCAAUAAUUAAGUAAGAAGCUUCAAAGGUCUUUAAACUAGAAGACAAACGAAUUGAGCAAGGCUGUAACAUACUCAAUCAAACAGAUUCAAAAUCAUUCAAAGGUUGGAUUAUUUUUAAUCUCAUAUAUUGGUUUUGGUCAAAUCUGACAGAACACUACAAACAACUCUUUUGACCUUUAUUUAAUGCUCCUAAAAACGCCUAUAAAAGGAAGGCCAAUAUCUAGGAUUAAACAAGAAGUUAAAGUGCUGUCAAUUCCGAUAAAUCAUUCACAUUCAGAUACUUAAACUUUUCAUUUUCACAAAGAAGAAACAGUUCUAAAUCCUUACAUUAUAUUGUGUUACUACUACUGAUUUCUUUGUAAAAAUCCAAUCUCAAACACGAGUUGAGACAUCUCAGAUUCUAUCAAAACAAUCUUAUCAUUAUUGUAAAACUCAAACUAUAAGAGUUUAAUUAUAGUUUGAUUAGAUUGUAACGAAUCCUAUCAAGAUAGAUAGGUAGCAUAUUCGCUUUUUGAGUGGAGAGGAAUAAGGCUUGAAACAGAUCAGGGUCGAUCUGUGCUGAGUGCUGUAAAAUCAAGAAGGUUCUUUGUUUUAAACACUUAUUGGAAAAUCUCACAGUUGUGAGGAUUGGACGUAACCCGAGUUGGGUGAACCAGGAUAUAUUGAUGCGUGGUAUCUUUUCCCUUAUCUAUUUACUUUCAGUUUGAUUGAUUAAUAGGUCAAAAACUUAAACAAAAUUACUAAUUUUAACUAACCAAGAUCGUUCUCCUUUUUCUGGUUAAAACCAAGGACGUUCUCCGUUUUCUGGUUAAAACCAAAAACGUUCUCCGUUUUCUGUUUUCACAACCAGGAUCAAUCUUGAGUUAUUUUCUUAAGUUUUUAACAGGAAUUUUUAAAAGGUGCAUUUACAAUUCAAACUCCCCUUUUCUUGUAAAUUGACAUUGUUAUUUCAAUUGGCAUCAGAGCUCGGUCUCUAGAAAGAUUAAAAAACACCUAAGAAGUGCUAGAGAAAAGAUCCAGAAGAAAAAAUGUCGAAAGCCAAAUACAUUGUUGAAGGAGGAUCUUCGAACAGACCACCUUUCUUUGAUGGAACUUAUUACUAUUUUUGGAAAAAUAAGAUGCAAUUGUUUCUAAAAUCUCAAGAUACAGGGAUGUGGCGCAUCAUUACUGAUGAAGAUUUCAUACCAAGGUUUGAUCAAGAUGACUCAAGCUCUGCUAUGAAGAAAGAAGCAGACUGAAUAGCUGAUGAUAAAACUAAGAUAUUUCUAAAUUCUAAAGCUCAGUUAUUUUUAUCAUGUGCCUUAAGCAGGAAAGAAAGUGAAAGAGUAGAUGAAUGUACAACUGCAAAAGAAGUUUGGGAUACGCUACAAACUCAUCAUAAAUGAACAAGCCAUGUCAAAGAAACAAGGAUAGAUAUUGGCAUAAGGAAAUUCGAACUGUUCGAAAUGCAAGAAGGAGAAACUAUUGAUGAAAUGUACUCAAGGUUCACAACAAUAGUAAAUGAAAUGCGUUUUCUUGGAAAAGCUUACACAGUUCAAGAAAGAGUAAGAAAAAUCAUGAGAUAUCUUGCAAUCAUAUGAAGACCAAUGGUAACAGCUAUAAGCCAAACCAAGAAUCUUGAAUCACUUCCUCUGGAAGAAUUAAUUGGAACUUUAAGAGCACAUGAAGUACUGCUACAAGAAGAAAAAUCAAUCAAAAAGGGAAAGACAAUAGCACUAAAAGCAUCUCAAGAAAAUAUCACAGUACAAAUAGAAGAAGAACCAGAAGAAAACGAACAAGAAGAAGCUGAUGAAGUUGCUUUUCUCACCAGAAGAAUACAAAGAAUGAUGAGAAGAAGAGAUCAAAUCAAAAAGGAAUUUUAAAACAAAAAUCCCAAAACAGAAGUAGACAAAAGCCAAGUCACAUGUUUUGGAUGUAACAAAUUAGGACAUUACAAAGUAGAAUGCCCUAUAAACAAGAAUCCGCCAAAGCAAUUUCCUUUCAAGAAGAAAUCAAUGAUGGCAACAUGGGAGGAUUCGGAAGAAUCAGAAGCUGAAGAAGACGAGGAAGCUAACAUAUGCUUAAUGGCAAAAAUAGAGGAAGAGAAGGUAAUAAAUUCUGAGCCAUGUCAUUUAUGUGAGCAAAUGGGAAAAGAAUUUGAUAACUUAUUAAAUGAUUGAAAUCUCCUUAUUCAAAAAUGUAGUUUUUUAAAAGAACAAUUUCAUAAAGAGAAAGAAGAAAAAGAAGAAAGUCAAGCUAGAAAUAAUAUGCUCAAAAACAUCAUUCAAGAAUUAAAAGAAACGCAUAAACAAAAUUUUGAAAAACAAGAAGGUCAAGAACAUUCUGCGCUGAAAAAGAGAACAUUCUCCGGAAAAAUGAAAACGAACUUCUUAAAACUGAUUUGUUGAAUUUCAUUAAAGCCACUGAAACUUUCUAAAAAAUUAUGGGAUCUCAAAUGAGAAUCUUUGAUAAAGCUGGUCUUGGUUUUAAUCAAACUCAAAAAACAAAGGUGUAUGAAAAAAAUUUUGUCCCAGAAAGAAAGGAAGAAAUAUGUAAAACUAGAUGCUCAUAUUGUAAAAAACUUGGACAUCUAGAAUUUGCUUGCUAUUUCAGAAAAAGAGAUGAAAAGAUUAAAAGUACGAGCUUGAUUAAAAAAGGAGAUCGUUUUGCCAAGACAGUAUUAGUAAAACUGCAAAAAGGAGAACACUCUCCAGACUGUUCUCAAAACUGAGAAAGUUCCAAAACGAAAGUUGAACAUUCUCCAGAAAAACUGGGAAAAGGAGAACAAUCUGAAAUUGUCUCAAAAUUAAGUUUACAAUAUUUUGAAAUACAGAGUAUCAAAUCAAUUUAAAAAUCAACAGUUAAAUGUUCAGUUUGUUUCAAAAACAAUCAUGAAAAAAUGAUGUGUCAUUUUAAAAAGAAACAAAAUUUUAAAACUAACUCCCAAUGACCUAAAACAAUGUGGGUACCUAAGGCUGAACUAACGUCGUAUGCAGGUUGGAUUUCCAAAUAAAAAGAGAAAGCCUUGGUUCUUGGAAAAUGGUUGUUCAAGACACAUGACAGGAGAUAAAGGUUGUUUUCUAACAUUCAUCAAGAAUGAUGGAGGAUCAGUUACUUUUGGAAAUAACAACCAAGCUCAGAUUAAUGGUAAAGGAACCAUUGGUAAGAAAAAACUCUGCUCAAAUAAUUGAUGUUCAAUAUGUUGAAGGUUUAAAACACAAUCUGUUAAGCAUAAGUCAGCUAUGUGACAAUGGAUGUGAAGUUAUUUUCAAACCCAAAGUAUGUGAAAUCAGAAAAACUGAAACUGGAGAAACUUUGUUUUCUGGAAAUCGAAAGAAAAAUUUGUAUGUUUUAUAUCUUGAAGAACUACCUGACGAGUCAUGCUUUAUAUCAAUCAAUAAAGACAAAUGAAUAUGGCAUAAAAGAGCUGGUCAUAUUAGUAUGAAAACAAUCUCAAAAAUCUCAAAAUUAGAUCUUGUUAGAGGAUUACCCAAACUCAAUUUUGAAAAAGAUAAAAUAUGUGAAGCAUGUGGAAAAGGAAAACAAGUCAAGAGUAGCUUUCAUUCAAAAGAUUUUAUAACCACAAACAUAACUCUUGAAUUACUUCACAUAGAUCUUUUUGGGCCAGUCAAAACAACAAGUCUAGGAGGAAUGAAAUAUGGUUUCGUUAUUAUUGAUGAUUUCUCAAGAUUUACUUGGGUGCUAUUUUUAAAACAAAAAAACGAUGCAUUUGACGCAUUUAAAAUAUUUUGCAAGAAAGUACAAAAUGAAAAAGAAUCCAUCAUCAUUUCUGUAAGAAGUAAUCAUGGAGGAGAAUUCAUAAAUGCUUCGUUUAAAACCUUAUUUGAUGAACUUGACAUUUCUCAUAAUCUUUCAUGUGCAAGAACUCCAUAACAAAAUGAAGUUGUUGAAUGAAAAAAUAGAACAUUACAAGAAAUGACAAGAACCAUUUUGGAAGAAUCCAACGUUGAAAGGUAUUUUUGGGCUGAAGCCAUAAACACAUCUUGCUAUAUCCUAAACCGUGUAUCCAUAAGAAAGAUCAUCAAUAAAACACCAUAUGAAAUCUGAAAAAAUAUAAAACCAAACAUUUCUUACUUUCAUAUUUUUGGUUGUUAUUGUUAUGUUUUAAACAACAAAGAUAUAAUUGGAAAAUUUGAUGCAAAAUCUGAUAAAGCAAUCUUUCUUGGUUAUUCAACUGAUUCUAAAGGAUAUAGGAUAUUUAAUCCAAGAACUAAUGUUGUAGAAAUAAGUAUGCACAUAUUAUUUGAUGAGUUUGAUGACUUAGAUUUAAGUAAAAAAGAUGAGGAAGAAGAAACUCCAAUCGAGUUACAGUAGCAAAUUAGAUUGCAGAAAAUAGAGAUUGAUAAACAAUCUCCAUUUCAUUCUCCACCAAAAAGCUGGAGAACGAUUGAAGAUCAUCCUCAAACACAAAUUAUUGGAGACACAACUGAUGGGUUUCGAACAAGAAAAUCAUUCAAGAAUGAUGAAAACAACAUGGCAAUGAUAUCUCAAAUUGAACUAAAAUCAAUUAAAGAAGCCAUCAUUGAUCAAUCUUGGAUAGAUGCUAUGAAGGAAGAACUACUGCAGUUUGAAAAAAGUGAAGUCUAGACACUAGUACCUGACCCAUUAGAUCAAACAAUCAUUGUUACAUGAUGGGUCUUCAGAAAUAAACUAGAUGAAGAAGGUAAGGUUAUCAUGAACAAAGCAAGAUUAGUAGCUCAAGGCUACAAUCAACAAGAAGGUAUAGAUUAUGAUGACACAUUUGCUUCGAUUGCAAGGUUAUAAGCUAUUCGUAUACUUCUUGCAUAUGCAUCUUAUAAGCUUAUUAAAUUGUUUCAAAUGGAUGUUAAAAGUGUAUUUUUAAAUGGAUUCUAAUGAACAAGUUUAUGUGAAACAACCCCCAGGUUUUGAAAAUCAAUCAAAACCAAAUCACAUUUUCAAACUUACCAAAGCUCUAUAUGGCUUAAAACAAGCACCAAAAGUCUGGUAUGAAAGAUUAAGUUCAUUCUUAAUCAAAAAUGGAUUCUUAAGAGGAAAAAUCGACACUACAUUAUUUAAGAAAACAGACAAAAAUUACUUACUUAUUGUUCAAGUAUAUGUUGAUGAUAUCAUCUUUGGAUCAACAUAUGAAAAAAUGUGUGAAGGUUUCUCAAAAGUUAUGCAAAGUGAAUUUGAAAUGAGUAUGAUGGGAGAAUUAAGGUAUUUUCUUGGUUUACAAAUUAAACAACAUGAAAAUGGCAUCUUUAUUUGUCAAGAAAAAUACAUUAAAGAUCUGCUGGUCAAAUAUAAAAUGAAUGAAUCAAAGAUCAUGAUCACUUUUAUGCAUCCAUCUUCUUCUUUAGAGAAAGAUGAAAAUGACAAUUCUGUUUCUGAAAUAGAAUAUAGAGGAAUGAUUGGUUAUUUGCUUUAUUUAACUGCUAGUAGGUCUGAUAUAGUGUUUAGAGUGGGAUUAUGCGCUCGAUUUCAAUUAGCACCAAAAGAAUCACAUUUGACAACAGUAAAACGAAUAUUUAGAUAUCUUGUUGGAACCACUAAUCUUGGUCUUUGGUAUAGAAAAGGUUCGCAUUUUGAUCUUAUAGCAUAUUGUGAUGUUGAUUAUGCUGGAGAUAAAAUUGAAAGAACAAGCACAAGUGGAGCAUGUCAGUUCUUAGGUGAAGCACUGAUCAGUUGGUCCUGCAGAAAGCAAAACACUAUAGCCUUAUCAACAACUAAAGCUGAAUAUGACUCAGCAGCAAACUGUAGUUCACAAGUUCUAUGGAUUAAGAAUAAACUCCAAGACUACUCAGUAAGCUAUUCCAGUAUUUCAAUUUAUUGUGAUAAUACUAGUGCUAUAAAUCUGUCGAAAAAUCCAAUUCAACACUCUAGAUCAAAACAUAUUGGAAUAAAACAUCAUUUCAUUCGUGAUCAUCUCAAUAAGAAAGAUAUCGAAUUAAUCUUUGUUGAUACUCAAAAUCAACUUGCUAACAUCUUCACAAAGCCUCUUGUCGAUGAUAGUUUCAAUUUGAUCAAAGAGAAACUGAAAAUCACGAAAAAUCCAGAAAAUUCUGGAUAAAAUCUGCUUCUGCAGAAAACGGAGAACGUUUAUCAAUCUCCGUUUUUCAUAUAUCAGUCUCCAUUUUGACAACCAACAUUCUCCUUUUAGUCAUCACGUUUCCUCACAAAUCAAAAAUGAAAAUCUUGGAAUUUAAUGCAUGUGUCUCACUGAAACUUCUCAACUCCUAAGCCAUGACACGCACAAAACAAUAUGCAAGAAAGAAUGUUUAUCCCUAUUCACCAUCUUCAUCAUCCCCAUCAUCUGAUUCAUUUCAACGCUCACCUUCUCCACCACCACACAUCUCCUCUGAUACUUUGUUUUCUAAUUAUCUUUCAUCAUCCCCUAAAACUAAUCCUAAUAAUCUUCCUAUCAAUCCAAAUCCCCUAUCCACUGUUCUUCCACCACUAUACACAUGUCCUCCUCCUAAUAUUUCUCAAGUUCCUCCUCAUCUAAGAAAACCUAUGAUACCAAAAGGACGCUCCACGAGAGUUCAAUCUGGCAUUGGAACUUCCAAAGCCAAAAAAGAAAAACCCUUUUACUUCAUCAUCUCCGAUUCUGAGACUGAUGACUCAUAUGAAACUUCUCCUCCCACAACCGUUAGAGAAAAGCACAACCCAAACCCAUCACUCCUUCAAAAUCUUCACUGUCUUCUGAACCGUCUCAAUCAACUCCUCCAAAUCAAAAAAAGAGAUUGAUCGAAGAAAUAUUUUCCUCUAUCCCAAAAUCUUCUCAACCUUCAACUCAACCCAAAAAGACCAUGAAAACUAAAACCACCAUGACAAUCGCCCAGUUCAUAGCCAGAAACAAACUCAAAAAACCCCAAAGAAAGAAAAUGCUUGCACCUAAACAAAACCUAAAACUCACUGAAACAGUUUCUCCAGAACAGUCUCCAUCUCCAAAAUGUUCCGCUGUUCCAAAUCCAGAACGUUCUUCAGUACGUAUCCCCUCAUGCCCUCCACAAAAAGAAUGUUCUCUACAUCAAAAACGUUCUCCUACUCAUCCAAUCUCUCCUUCAGAACCUUCUCCAAAUCUAGAAACUUCUCCACUUUGUACACCACCCCCAUCAACAAAAACCAAACCAUAUCCAACUCCAGAACAUUCAUCUUCCUCUACUUCUGAAACAUCUGAACCGUCUCCACCUACUAAAAAAUACAAACCAAACACACUCCCUCUCAUUUCACAAAAAACCACCAAACAUUUCAAAGAUAAAUGGGCUCAACGCUUAAUUGGAAUCAACAGAGUUUUUGUUUUUGAUAAACUCAUUAUUGAUGGAAAUGCUGUCCAGCAUCACACUGAUGCUCUAGGCUGGACAUCAUUCUUACAAACAUCUUAGUGUUACUACCCAGAUGUUGUCACAACUUUCUAUUGCAACGCAAAAACCUUUUAUGAUAAAUCCCUCAUCAUCUCCUCCAUUAAGGGUAUUGAGAUCAAGUUAACUCCAGACAUCCUGGCUUCCAUCCUUCAAUUGCCUACAGAAGGACCUUCUGUUUUGGAAAUCAAUGGUACUCAGCUCUGAACCUAAAAGAGACUGAGGUCCUCUAUGACUUAUUUGAAGAAUGAUCCACCCGUUACCUCUCCACAUAUCUCAACCCCCUUCCAAAAGUCUUCGACAACAUGAGCCAACAUACUCUCAUUCCUCAAUGUGGAAGUCGUGAGUAUGUUUCCGCCAAUGACGCCUUACUCAUCUAUCACCUCCUCAACUGUAAGCGUCUUAAUCUUCCUCAUGUGAUCAUUCAACACAUGAUCUGUGCUGCCACGAAAGAUUACAAGAAAAAUACCGUUCCUUAUGGAAUAAUAUUAACUAAGAUCUUUAGGCAUUUUGAAAUUCCCCUCACCAAUGAAAAAUCACUCAUUAAAAUCUCCAAAUUUUCCACAAAAAACCUCUCCCAUAUGCGUAAAACACCAUCUACACAACCAACCACCACUACAUCCUCCUUCCCAACCUCCUUGAAAAGAAAACGUUCUGCAAGACGAAGAACUAUCCCCGUCUAUAUUCCUUUCUCACCUCCAAAAUCUGAUCAAUUAGGAGAUGCAGUUCCAGAAACUGCUCCAGAACAUUCUCCAUCAAAUCGAGAACGUUGUCUAGAACAUUCUCCACAAAACCCAGAACACUCUCCAUAAAAAAUUCCACCUUCAUCAACAUUCUCUGUUUUUCCUCAACCAUCCACCUUAUCCUCCACUGAUUUCCUCUCAUAUUCUCAAAUCCUUCACUCUCCACCUCAUGACUUUGGAACACUGUUGCCCAAUCCACAUAUAAGUGUCAUGUCACCAUUUUUUGUGUCCCCCCCAAAAAACAAGUUCCUCCAUUUUUGGUAUUAGCCAAUUUUUUAACUUUCAAGAAGCUGCUGACCCAUCUGGUAAACCAUCCACACCAUCUGGACCUCUCCCUUCCUUGGCUACCUCAUUUGGAACUGUUCCCUCCAUCUCCGAGUCCACCAUUCCAUCGAACACUGUUGUUGCUGCCACCUCUCAACCAACUACUCACAUUCAUACUCCUCCUCGCAUGGUUGAACCUUCAAACUCUGAUAUUAUGGCUGCUCUUCAGACCAUAAUGGCACGAAAGUUUCAGCAAGAUCAGGAGAAUAAUUUGUUGAGAACUUGGUUCACAUAACAACUCGCUCCCAAGCUGGGAAUCACACACCUCCACUUCUUCCUGUUCCUCCUCCACAAGUUCCUAACCUAGGAAAAUCCUCCUCAUCUGAAGGAUCCUCUCUGUAUCUCGCAUCUUAGUUUUUUUUCCCCUUACCUUUUUGUAUGACAAAGGGGGAGAAUUAAGUUAGUUUUUAAUAUGUUUUUAGAAUCUUGUUGUAUCUAGGAUUCUCUACAUAUGCUUAAAAGCAAACUGAUGUUAUGUAUCUCUUUUGAAUUAAUGAAAACAACACUUUGUCAAAAUAAUAUGAUGCUUGUUUAAAAUUAUGUUCAAAUCACUUACUUCAUUAAUUGAGAGGGAGCUCUUUAGCUCUUCAAACUAGAUAUGAGAAUCUAAAUUAACAUGUUUGUCAUUAUCAAAAAGGGGGAGAUUGUUGAAACAAACUCUCGAAUUAAAGUUUUGAUGAAAAUAAACAAAGGUUAAUUAAGAAUGUUAAUUAUGAUUCUAAAAUGUUAUGUUAAAGUAACUUGUGCUUUUGAGUGAAUUUAUUUAAAGAUACGAAUCAAGCAAAGCAAAGAAAAUAGCUCAAAACUAAAACAACAUCAUUCUAGACAAAACGAAGAAUGAUCUCCAGGUUCAAGAUUGAUCGUCAUAGCAUCUUGACCAAUCAAUCUCCACUAAUUCAACAAAGCUUUUUUCUCUGAAUCUUAUGCUAAAAGCAUCAUUACAUGGCAAAGAACAAAUAGGUGUCAUCUCGGUAGAAGAAGGUUCUCGAAUCAUUAAAAUAAAAGAACUCGAAACAAGCCAGUUGAAACAGUUUGGAACCUCUUCAGCCAAACUGUCAAGAAAGUUCGAUCAACCUUGAUAUAUGCAAAAACAUUACAAAGACAUCCAGAAAGAUCAAAACAUGAACUCCAGAUUGAUCAUCAAUCUCCAGAAAGAUCAAAUUUCCAGAACCGGAUUGAUAAUCAAUCUCCGUGUUCUGUAUAAAUCUAGCAGUGUUCUUUCUACUUCUGCAUUGAGUUAUAAUCAUUCUCCAAACUAUUUUGGACAAGAUUCAAAGUUCUAGAUCAAGGUUGUAACAUCAGUAAUUAAGUAAGAAGCUUCAAAGGUCUUUAAACUAGAAGACAAACGAAUUGAGCAAGGCUGUAACAAACUCAAUCAAACAGAUUCAAAAUCAUUCAAAGGCUGGAUUAUUUUUAAUCGCAUAUAUUGGUUUUGGUCAAAUCUGAUAGAGCACUACCAACAACUCUUUUGACCUUUAUUUAAUGCUCCUAAAAACGCCUAUAAAAGGAAGGCCAAUAUCCAGGAUUAAACAAGAAAUUCAAGUGCUGUCAAUUCCGAUAAAUCAUUCACAUUGACAUACUUGAAGUUCUCAUUUUCACAAAGAAGAAGCAGUUCUAAAUCUUUACAUUAUAUUGUGUUACUACUACUGAUUUCUUUGUAAAGAAUCAAAUCUCAAACAAGAGUUGAGACAUAUCAGAUUCUAUCAAAACAAUCUUAUUAUUAUUGUAAAACUCAAACUAUAAGAGUUUAAUUAUAGUUUGAUUAGAUUGUAACGAAUCCUAUCAAGAUAGAUAGGUAGCAUAUUUGCUUUAUGGGUGGAGAGAAAUAAGGCUUGAAACAAAUCAGGGUCGAUUUGUGCCGAGUGCUGUAAAAUCAAGAAGGUUCUUUGUUUUAAACACUUAGUGGAAAGUGUCACAGGUUUGAGGACUGGACAUAACCCAAGUUGGGUGAACCAGAAUAUAUUGUUGCGUGGUAUCUCUUCCCUUAUCUAUUUACUUUCAGUUUGAUUGAUUAAUAGGUCAAAAACUUAAACAGAAUUGCUAAUUUUAACUAACCAAGAUCGUUCUCUGUUUUCUGGUUAAAACCAAGAACUUCUCCGUUUUCUGUUUUCACAACCAGGAUCAAUCUUGAGUUAUUUUCUUAAGUUUUUAACAGAAAUUUUUAAAAGGUGCAUUUACAAUUCAAACUCCCAUUUCUUGUAAAACGAUAUUGUUACUUAUGAUGUUGCUUUGAAAUUUGAUAUUAGCAAAAUAUAUGAUAGAAUUGACUGGAGUUACAUACAUGGUGUUAUGAUAAAAAUGGGUCAUGAUGUGUGUUGAAAGAGUUGAUUAUUUUGUGAUUGUGAAUGAUGAUAUAGUGGGUCCAAUUAAAUCGGUCAGAGGUCUUCAUCAAAGAAACCCUCUCUCUUCAUACGUGUUUAUUAUUUGUGUUGAAGGAUUUUCUGCUCUUAUUCGCCAAGCGAAAUCAAGGGGAGAUAUACAUGGUGUUAAGAUAUGUAGAACAGUGCCUAUUAUCUCUCACCUCUUAUUUGCAUACAAUUGUUUCUUAUUUUUCCGUGCAACUGAAAAUGAAGCCAUAUGAUGAAGAAUAAUCUAUCAACUUCCCAAAGUUAGAGAUUUUCUACAGUUGCAAUGUACAUCACAAUGUAAGGGACUCAAUUGUAAACAUCAUUGAGGUACUAGUAAUUUUGGGUAUCGACAAAUACUUGGGCCUCCCUUCCAUGAUUGGACAUGCAAAAAAUGUCUAUUUUUAGUUUUGUCUAAGAAAAAAUGUGGCAGAAGAUCAAUUCUUGGAGUAACAAAUGUCUCUCAUAAGAAGGUCGAGAGGUACUUAUUAAAUCUAGGUUUAGAUACGUUUUUGUUUCUUCAAAUAUGGUUCUUUUUUAUUUUAGUCCAUGUAAUUUGUUUUUGUUUGAUUUUUAACCUUAUAAAUUUUAACAUAUUUUAAAAAAGUCCUUUAUGAAUUUUAAUUUUGGAUGAACUACACAUAGUGACCGUGUAAUUGUUGUUGACAAGACAAUAUUUGAUAUUUAAAAUUAAAAUUCAUUUAUUAACUCAUUUAAUUAAAAACUUAAAACUAGUUAAUUAAUUAAUAAAUGAGUUAAAUAAUAAAAAUCCAAUAAUCUUCAUCUUCAACCCUAAAUUCUUCAUUAUUCAAACCCUAAAAAUCAUAAUCUCUCAUUUUUCUUACACCACACCUAUUAUGGACAUGUUUGUCUUCUUGUGCUUUGGCUUUGGCGUUCUAUUAUGGUCUUAGUCUCUCUUAUCCUUUUCUCUUUUUUUAUCACAGUGGUUGCAAUUUUCCUCCUAAAAUUUCUUUCGGUUAUUUUUUAAUUUUACUUUUUGGUGUAAGGGUUUGUAUAAUUUUGAUUGAUCAAUAGUUUGACAUUUGUGUUUGCAGGAUUAAUUGAAGAUUGGAAAAUGUUACACAAGAUGGAUUUAAUGCUUUUAUUGUAAGUUUUUCUACCAUGCAUAGAUUUGGUUGUGAACCCCAUCCCCUUUCCAAAAUCAAGCUAUUUCAUAUUUAGUUAGAAUUAUAGGUGUGAUGUAAGAAAAAUGAGAGAUUAUAAUUUUUAGGGUUUUGAUCAGAUAUGAAAAUUUGUGAUUUGAAGAUGAAAAAAUUAGGGUUGAAGAUGAAGGUUAUUGAAUUUUUAUUAAAAAAUUUGGGGUUGAAGAUGAAGAUUAUUGAGUUUUUAUUAUUUACUUGGUUUAUUAAUUAAUUAAUUUUAAGUUUUUAAUAAAAUGAUUAAAUGAGUUAAUAAAAUGAAUUUUAAUUUUAAAUAUUAAAUACUGCCUAGUCAACAAUAAUUAUGUGGUCACCAUAUGCCACUUCAUCCAAAAUUAGCCAUGUCACUAUUUUUUUUACUAAAAAAGAUUCACAAAUGACUUUUUUAAAACUUGUUAGAAGUUGCAAGGGUGUAAAUAAAAUAAAAAAUUUACAGAGACUAAAAUCAAAACGAAUUAAACUUGCGAGAACCAAAAACAUAUUUAAACUUUAAAUCUAUUUUAUAGGCUAUAUCUACAUAUAUUAUAAGCAUAUUUCUUCUUCCAACUUCUUUUUGCGAUGAAAUUGAAAAAAAUGAUGAACUCCUUCUAGUGGAAUCACUUGGAACUUAGUCAAAGAAUAUUCAUUGUCUCUCUUGGAAUCAAAUGGCUACAAGUAAAUGGGAUGCAUGUAUGAACUUUAAAAAUCUUGCAGCUUUCAGUAUUGCAAUGCUUGGAAAACAAUGGUGGCACGCCAUAAAUACUCGAAAUAGCCUUAUCUCUCAGCCAUUUAAGGCAAAUUUUUUUUGAAUGGACAACUCCUUGAUUCUAGUAUUGGUCAUAAUCUAGAUUUUGUUUGGCAAAGUAUUUGCAGCGCCAAACAAACUAUUGCAUAAGGUACCAGGUAUGGUAUUGGCUCAAGUAAUGAUAUAUAUCUCUAUUUGGAAUGAACAAUGAUUACAUGAUGGUACAAUUAUGUCAAUACCAGUGAACUGUGAGCCCUAUGUGGCAACUCUAUGUGUAGGAGAUCUUAUUAACCCUUAUGUGAAAACUUGGAAUGCUCGUUUAAUCUAUUCGUUGUUUGAUCAAGCCACAAGUACCAAAAUACUCAAUACUCCCUUAUUUUAAUUCGAUUACUAGUGAUAGAAGAAUUUGGUGUAGGGAGCAAAAUGCGGACUACUCUGUGAGAAACACUUAGGUUAUAUGUUCAAGACAUUACUGAGGUAUCUCAUUAGAGCAUACCUGAACAAUGGAAUCUCAUAUAGAACCUCAAAUCUCCGCCAAAUAUAUAAAACAUGUUAUGGUGUAUCUGUAACAGGUGCCUCCCUACUAGAGGCAUGCUUUGGGAGCAUGGUGUUGAUUGUCCUACUAAUUGUGUGAUAUGUGAUCACAAAGUUAAGAAUAUUGUCCAUAUUUUGUUCUCUUGUGCUAACAAUCAACAUGUCUGGCAGAAAAUUUAUUUUUUUCUGGUCAUUGCGGAUAUUGUGGUACAUCAGUUAGAAGUAUCUGACAUGAUUUUCAAAGUAUUGCAGUAACUAUCUAGUAAGGAUGCAAGUUUCUUUGCAGGCAUCAUCUAGAGCAUUUAGAAACAACUUAACAACAAAACUUGCAACAACAUAGUUGAACGCCCAUCAAAGGUAUUCAACCAAGCUGUAGAUUUCCUAAAAGAUUGGACUCUUGUUAGGUCUGCUCAAAAUCAAAUUGAAGUGGUACAAAGAGAUAAUCAUACAUACAUUUGGAAAAAACCGGGGCCAUGUAGGAUGGAAUGCAAUGUUGACGCCUCCUUCUCAAUUCAUGAUAACAAGGAUGGAGUUGGAAUGUGUAUUAGGAAUGAACAUGGGGAAUUUGUGCCGGCUAAAAUGAAUUGGUUCACACCUCAAUGUGAAGUUCACAUAGGUGAAACACUUGGUUUACUUUUCCGCUAUCGAAUGUGUGCAUGAUUUACAUAUAGGUCCUUUAGAUUUUGAAUUGGACUCCAAAGUAGUCGUUGAUAUCUUCCUUUCUCAAAAUUCGGACAAACCUGAACUUAGAGACUUUAUCAAACAAUGUAAAUUUAUGUUUAAUUCUUUUCGUGUAGACUUUAGUGUUGAGUUCUGUAAGAGACAAGUGAAUGAGGUUGCUCGCGCUCUUGCGAUGGCAACCAUAUUGCAAUCUCAUUUCCAUGUUUGGAUUGAAAUAUAUUUUUUGUAUUGAACACUUUAUUAUCAAUGAAAUGAAAUAUAUAUUUUUCAAUUUAAAAAAAAAAAUACUUAAGUGCAAUAAAAAAAAAAAAAAAAAAACUCAUGUGCGCAAUGAUUUGGUAAGAGAUUUAAAUAUAAUUUUAUAUAUUAAUAUGACACAACAUAAUCCACAGAUAAUUAUUUCCUUUAAAUAUGUGGUUUGAGUCAAUUAAUUUUAAAAGAAAAUUGAAUUAAAUUUCAAACAACUAUGUUAGAAAAGUGAAUUUUGCAUCAUCCCGUAAAAUUAUUUUGGAACAAUAUUUUAUUUAUAGAAAUUUACCUAACAUAAAACUGAUUUUAGAUUUUAUGAAAAUAUUAGUAAAUAAUUGAUGUACCACAGUACUAGUAUCUACAUUUUGAGUUUUAUUGAAUACCGUGAAGUUUAAAUUUUGAUUUUACGAUAUUUAAAAAUGUACCAUAAAAUACUAAUAGAAGUGGAAGAGAUUGUGAAUAAUGAAUUAGGGAGUUUAAUAAUAAAAAAGUAAAAGAGUUCUAUAAAAUAUUAAGAAUUUUAGUUUGUUAAGUGAGAAGACUAGGUGU